rnacentral:lncRNA from 1 species
UUCUUUGAGGUAUUUGGAGUCUCCUAGUAUUCUCAUGAGCAAAAGGUGUUUGGUGCGAGGUUCCUGGGAUAUUAGUUAUCUAAUAAAUUAUCGAUCAUUUCUCGCAAGAAGUCGAUACUAUUGUAAUCGAAUUUGGUGCCCAUGUUGUCAUGGUUAGAUCAUGUUAGUUGGGUUACGUGUGGGCGGGCUAAUUGGUUGAAUUGGGACAUUAAUUCAUUUUGAAAACUCUGCAAUGGUUGUUGUGGUGUUUAAAAGGCAUGUGCUGGUUGGGUGUAUUGGCAGUGUGAUGUUUAGACGCUUUGGUGGUGUGAUAUUUGGAUGAAUAUUAGUUGGAUGUCAUGGUGGGAUGUGGUGGUAUCAUAUGCCUCAUCGGGGAUAUAGUAAGAUGUGGUCGCGGUAUAUGGUUUUUGGUGGUAUGGGACAUGCUUUUGGUUUUGUAUUUGAGUAUGUGGCAUGAAUUGGUCACAGGGUUAGGUGUAUGUGGCUUUGUAAUCAUGUUUGGUUGAUUGUUGGGUGUAUGUGGUAUGGUAAUGUUAUGGGGUUGGUUGUUGGGUUUGGGUGGGUUGACAAUGUUGUUGGGUUUGGUAAUGUUAUGGGGUUGGUUGUUUGGAGUAUGAUGACAAAGAUCAUAGGCAUCAGUCAAUCAAAUAGCUCGGGUCAGACAUAAAUUAUGUCGUUGUAACCGAUCUAUACCAAUUCGUAUAAUUUCAAGUUAGUCUAGCAUCCUGCAUGAUAGGUUCGUUUAUUGUUUGUUGAUAUAGGUGUUUCCAUUGAUGACAUGCCUCUGUAUAUAACUCUAUCCAAUCAUAAAAAUACCAUUGGGUAUCAACUCUUAGUUGAUGCCAUUGUCCUAAACACGUCGCGGGGUCUAGGAUUUGUUGCUGCAUGUCGAACUAUAGUUUAACACGGUCACUCUGGUGCAUCUCCAUAAUAGUGAACCUGAUUAUUGUUGUUUUUGCAGUCUAAACUACAACAUCCUCAAGGUCAAUCUCAUAGUCAAGACCCAUAUACGGCCUCCAGAUAAAUUGUAGAGGAAAAUAUAUUAUUAGAAGAUUUAUAAAUUGGUAAAAUUAAAACUAACUUAACGAGAUGAUGAGUUGUUUAGUUGUAAAUUGGUAAAUUGGCAUUGAUGAACAGGAGUCAAUAGUGGAGUUUCUUGACACGCCUGGGUAGUGGACCCAAGAACGCAUGCAUAGAGUUAGCAAAAGUAUAAGCGAUGAUGGAAUCACGAUAUAAUGUUUUCCUUCUUCCAUCCUCCAUGGGAGGUUUAGGUACAUAUGUGUGAUCAUUGACAUAUAAUGGUGCGUCAAUAUCAGCAGCGAAAGGUGGAUGGAAUUGAGUUGGAAGUACAAUUAUGGUAAAUAAAGUUUAUGUUGAAAAAGCUUUAUGGAGAAAAAUGGAAAUUGUAGAGGAAAAAAAUCUCAAGGUGGUUUCUUUAUCUAUUGCAGAGAGAUGGAAGUGAGGAAGAAGAAAGUGUUAGAGGUAGCACGUUAAAUACCUAAAGGAAAAACGGUUCAGUCCCCCCUCCCCCGAAGUGACUUUAGCCACAUGGUGUGUUUAAGUUGACACUUGGCAUCAUAAAGGUCAUGGAGAAAGAUGAAAGUGGGAUUAAGAAGGUUUUUUCUUGAUUUCAUUUUUAAUUAAGGCUCAUAGGAAAUAAGGAUUGAUCAUGAUCGAUUUCACGCACGCCUGUGGCGUGACAUUCUCGGGUAAAGUGGUCAUAAUUAUUAGAAUCAUAAUUAAUUACUUUGAUGUUUUGUUGAAGUGAUGUGUAUAGAGUGGGGAAACAAUGUUGAAGGGCUUCAAAAUAGCCAACUUUCUUCCAUUUGAUCAUAUGAUCUAAAAUGGCCUUUUUUUACAUCUGUUAACUUGAGAUUUUCUACUUAGUAGGAAAAGUCAAAUGGAUAUUUCAUUGUGUGAAAUGCUAAGUGUUUGCAAUGUUGGACAGCAGUAGACAGUGAUGACACAAUGAUUAGGCAUCCCGAAUAACAUCUUGAGAUGUAGUUUGGAAAAAUCUCAAGAGAAAAUGUCGAGAAUUUCUUUGGAGGAUUCUCAAGAACAUAUCUGGGUAACUGCUCAACACAUGCCGAGGAGGGACUUUUUGAUAGACUCCAAAGACUUAGAAAAUUGAGGGCACCAAAUACAGAAGAGACUUAGUACUAUCAACAACUACCUUCAACGAGUAGGCAGUUACUAGUCACUAAGCAGUUAGAGAAUGUGUGGUAAUGAUUUCAGUAGUUUCAAAACCCUAACGAUGUAGCGAUACGUUGGAACAUGAGUUGCAUGUUGUAGCGGGGUUUUCGUUACCUUUAGGUUUAUUGACUAAACCAAAAGUCAACAUACAAUUCGAGUCGCCACCGCACUUUUAUUUGUCCAAAGAAAAGGCUAAAAAGCGAACAAAAGCCAAGUAAUAAGUUUUUCAAAUCAAAAACUAAUAAAAAUGUCAGAGAUCUAGGUAAGGGGGUUGGUUAUGAAAUGGGAAGGUUUUACGCACCCACACACUCCUUAGUACUCUAAGGGAACCCUUUUGCAAAUAUGUGUUUAGGUUGGUAUUUGUGAAAAGACUUGUACAAAAGAUUGGGGGAUGAGAAAAGAAUAGAUUAUAUUUACAAAUUUUAUUGUUUGAAUGAAUGAACCAUUGGCCUACGUACCAUCACAAAGGAGGAUCAAAACCUCGUAGUUCGGGGUAAAAAUCUCAAAGAUUGGUGAAUUGAUUUGAUCAAAAGCCUUAAGGUCUUUUGUUAUCAAAGGGAUAAAACUCAACCAAAACCAACAAUCCACCAUGUGAGGAAGGCUUCAACAUGCUAGUGAGGGGUUAACCCUAUAAUAAGCAUGGAAGACUCAUAAUCCAACACUAAGGAUGAGGUGAGAUUUACAUCAACCACUAUGAUAACUCAAACCUAUGAUUAAUGUUUAUGAAAAGGUUUAAACAGGUGGCCAUUGGAACCAUAAAAUCAACUUGAAGUGAGUUAUAUUUCCAAGUUAGACUUAUUUAUAAAAUGAAGUCAAAGUGGGAUUAAUGUUUAUUCACAAUGAGUAUUUAUGAAAAUGGUUUUGAAAAGUCAAAGUCCUAAGGCCUAGGUUUCUAAUUUGAAACAAAGUCAAAGUUUGAAAAUGAUAAUUUGGCUUGGUUAGAGUGGGGAGAAGAAGAGAAGGGCUAUUCCUAAAGCAUACAAAGAUAAGAGGGGAAAGAUAAACCCUUGGAGUUCCCUUUCUUGGAAUCAUAAAGAUGAUUCAAGAUGCUCAUUUCCUUUGGACUUGACACACAAACAAGCAAUCAAACAAUUUGAAUUCAAGCUCCUAGGAUCUCCACUUGGCUUGGCUAUUAACUUGGCUACUCAUGACAAUGGUCAUAUUUUCACAAUCUCAAGAUAGGAUCCCUAUCACACAAAAUCAAACAUCAAAAAGUUCACAACACAAUAAAGGAAAUGGACAAUGAAUAAGUUUGGAAGAGAAGUCCUUUGAGAUCAACUUUGAAUUUUAGGAUUCUAAAGGCAUGAGACCUAUCUUAGACACAAAACAACUCACUUGAUCAUGGAUCAAAUUGAGUUUGGUUUAGAUCAAAGAAGGUUAAACUUCUCAUUUGUCAAGACCAACUUCAAGACUUUAACUCAUUGGUCACUGAUGGAAAGAAAGGGAUGAAGAUGAAAGGGAGGGGAAAAGAAAGACCACAACCAAAUCCAAUUGAUCAAAUGUGAAUCAAAUCACCAUCAACCAACACCAAACAGAAGAGAAAUGAAGAUAGCAAGUCAAGAGGUCAACCAUAUUUUUUUGGUAUUUUUUGAAUUAAAAUAAAAUGCAAAUAAAAAUAAACAAAUAAGGUUGAACCUCAAAUUCAAUUCAAAGCAACUUCAAAGAGUCCAAUUAAAUUCUCAUAGGUUCAACAUAGUCAAACAAGCUUUGACUAAUUUUCUCACAAAUUUUUGAAAUCAGAAACUAAUUAAAAACAAUUAAAAACAAUUAAAAAUAGCAUAGUAUGAAUUAAAAUCUCAAAUAAUCUCAAAUCAAAUAAGAAAUUGAUGAGACUAUUUUUCAUUGACUUAUCAUGAUCCAUAAAUGCUAUGAAAAUAUUUUUGGAUUUUUUAAAAGUCAGAAAAUACUUUAAAAUGAAUUAAAACCAUUAAAAAUCAAAUAAUCCAUAAAAAAUAUCAAAUGAAGUCACAAAAAUAAUUAAAAAUCAAAAUAUGAAACUAUAUUUUUCAAGAAAAUUUUUGGAGUUGGUCUCAUAUUUUUAUGACUUCAAAUGAAUUUUUUUAUGAAUUUUUGAAAAUCAAAUGAAUUAACUGAAAAUAAAAGAAAAUGGAAUAAAUGGAAAAAAAACCACAGCCACGUGAUGGAACUCAUUAAUUGACGUGGCAUCAAGGGACGAUCCAGAUAUGAGGGAACACAAUGCACUUGAGUCAAACGCGCUACACAAAUCAUUAAGUGAGGUAUUUGAAACGGACGUGUGAGAUUAAAACGUGGAAACCAAAUCCAAGGGCCAGGAGGAUGCACAUGUGGUGGUGGUGGUGGUGGAAACCACCAUCUUCUCCGCCCAGACAACCAAUUUGGGCCACCAGUUGCAGAGAAAAAAGUUUUAAUGAAAAUGGAAAACAAGGACAUGGAAAUGAAGCUCGUGUGAUGGAGAUCAUCACUGUACCAUUGGAUCUUCCUCACUCUUCCUAUAUUUAGAGAAACGUGAAGAAGAAGAUCAUGGUGUUCAAACUGUAAGCUCAUGAAAUGAUGAAUUGAAAGCACCAAUGGCUUGCCUCAAGUGUGAGGACUUCAGAAAACCACAGAAAAACAAGGAUGCUACAUUAAAUUAAGAGUUCUAGAUCCAAAAAGUUUGAGAAAUAACCUUUGAAUUGAAGAACUUCUGGCCACGAAUCCUUCAAGAUCCUUGCUUCUUUUUUAUCCUUGAGUGUAAUGGAAGUGAAAGGCUAAGGAAUUAGGCUUUGAAGCUCAGCUAAUGAUGCUGAAUUUCAAGCUCGAAAGUAAGAACAAUUUUUGAAUAAUUCCUUUGGUAUGGCUAUGGUUUCAAUGCUGCAGCAAUUCAGGUCUCCAAAAGGUUGCCAAAUGAAUGAGAGGAAGGGGUUAUUUAUAGAUGAAUGCAUCAGCUGAUCACACUUCUUUCAUGUGCAUGGCAAAUUGAAAAAUGGAUGCAUGGGCCUGUGUACGUGUGCGGGAGGCCCAAUGAUGAAUGCAAAAGCUUUCUGAGAUCAAGUAAAGGGUAAAUGGUCAUGUGCAUUGGACUGAACAAGCUUGCAUACUCAAGUUUCAUCAUAAAAUACCAAAAUGCACAUAUAUGAAAAGAAUUUCGAAACUCACAAAUGGUAAGUCCAAAUAAGUAAUGUGAGUAAUGGUUGGAAAUCCCUUUAAAUAAGGAAUAAAAGUAAUGUUGGGAAAAAUUUCAUUUGGCAUGUGUAAAUUGAUGAAAACUGGUUGUGAAAAUCCAAGUACAAAACAUAUUCAAAACACUUUGAAAAUUUUCACCAAAAGCAAACUUAAUCAAACCCCUAUCUUUGCAUGAUGCAAGCUUCAAAUGGAAAAACCUCCAACAUCAAAGUUGUAGAUACUUUAAAUAUGAUCAAUUUAGACUCAAAGUUUUUAUCAUUUGGAUUUUCUAUAACAAAGUUAUGGGCAUUUGAAGUUGGGUACUUUUUCAAAUUCAAUGAAUUAGGUCCAAUAUGACCUAUAAUGUUUUGUAUCAUCACAUGUAUUUCUUUUAUGAUUAUGAAAUUUUGUCCAACAUAACAUUUGAAAUAGACAUCUCAAUAUUUCCAAUGCAUCUGUUCUCACCUCAAAAUCAUAAAAAUUAAGGAAGUUAUGCCCUUGGUAAGUUGACCCAAAAUUAGGGUUUCAGUCAAAAUGACCUAUAAUGUUUUGAAAUGAAUGAUGACCUUCCAAGUUUCAAAUGGAUUUCAUAAAAAUUAAGGAAGUUAUGCCCUUGGUAAGUUGACCCAAAAUUAGGGUUUCAGUCAAAAUGACCUAUAAUGUUUUGAAAUGAAUGAUGACCUUCCAAGUUUCAAAUGGAUUUUUGAUGAACAUCAAAAGUUAUAUCUCAGUGGUGCUCAACUUAGUCAGAUGACUUGACUGGUCAACUUUUCAAGGCCAAACUCCCAAUCUUGAUGAAUAAAUGAUUGAGGGGCCUCAAGUAGGCUCAUAUAUGCAUAAAAUGAUGAAUGAAAGAACUUCCCUUGAUUAAAUCUUAUCAGAGGUUGAGAUUGCUUCAUGGGCAAGGCACAAUCAAAGCAUAAUGAAAUUAGGGUUUCCUUAGGAAACAAUCCUCAAGCCCUUUGGGUUAUCUUGAUCAAAUUGGAAAAUUGAGAUACUUGGGAGACAUAUAUGAUGAUUAGGAGAUUUGUGAACCAUUGUCAUGCUUUGUUCUCAUCUUCAUCUAGCCAUUUCAUUGGGCUUAGGAGCCUCCUAGGAGCAUUGUGGAGCACAUGAUCACUUGAGCUUCAAAACAAAAAAAAGUUAGUGACAUAUUUUUGUGCUUUUGGAUAGUAAUCAAAAUAAGAAAAGCAAUAAUAUACAAUGCAAGCAUGCUUGGUGGUCUCAAAACACUCAAACAAGUCCCAAUAAACAAGUCCCAAUCCUAGGGUUAAGGAGCCAAACAUGCUAUGAUCCUUGAGUCAAUGCAGUUGUGCAAUAACAUGAUGCCAUGAGGGAUCUUAGGGUCAAAAUUAGGGUCUUACACAUGUAUUCAGAGACGUGUCAAUUCUUUAGGUGUAAACUCUCGAAGGUAGUUAUUCUUAGUUUAGUAUAUAUAACAUGCCCAUAUGUUAUAAUCAAGGUCUCAAAUCUCAUAUACUUUCUCUAUAUAACUGGAAUGCCCAAACCAAGGAGUGAAACAAUUUGUGAGCAAUAUGCGAGUUUGCGUCCUCUUUUAUUUGUACUUUUUAUGUUUCACUAAUUGAAAUAUCUUUUUAUUUUUUAUUUACUACAUUUAUUUAAUGUUGGCCAUUCUAAACUUUUUGCACUUUAAUUCAAGUUUUAUUGUCUUUAAUUUUUACUUUUACACCGUCUGCAUUGAGACAUUUGUAGUCACAUCAUACACGUACAUUCUUGUAAAAGUUUUUGCACAAAACUAAUCCCUACAUUUUUCAAGUUAAUCUCAAAUACUUUCAAACUCGUUAUUGUUUGCUAAAAACACAUGCAAACAAAUUGGCACACCUAGUGGGACACACAUGUUUUUGUGCGAAAAAUUACUUUUCUCUUUAAGAAACCAUCAUAUUAAUUGCUUCUUUAUCAUUUAAAUGUUUUCAAUGUCUAUUGACGUAUACGUUAAAUGAGUGGUAAGAUUUGUAAUGUUUGGGGUCAUACACGUUUGAGGAAUGGUAGGAUUUUAGCAACCACGGUUAACCCAAAAAACACUUCUUGUGCCUGAAAUUAUGCUUCAGACCCUAAACCACUGGUUGGUACAACAGGGACAAUGAACAUUAUCGGAGUCACAAGCCCUAUGUUAACUUCAGUCGUGACUUCGACUUUAAUGCUAGGAGUGGUUCUAACUUUAUUGUCGGUAACAAGCAUACCAACCUCUCUCAGAUGUACUACGAUAAUUAUGGGGGACCAUAACCCCCCAUAUCUCCUUAGUUUUACUAUGCCUUUAGUUACGAGGGAUUACCCGUAUGGCAUUCCAACUGCCAUGAGGUGGGUUUACAUAGUCACGCUUUGAUGUUCAUAGAUAAUGUUGCAACAAUAGCAUCACCUCUUAACCCACACUUGGCAUCAGGAUUUUCCAUAAGCCAUCCUUGUCGCAUAGGGCAACCACGAGGAGAAUUUCGAUAUGGCCCACCAAUAAUGCCAACUUUAACUACUGCUUCCUUAGAGACCGUGAGAUAACAAAUGGACAAAAGUAACCAUGAAAUGGUGAAUAUAUUGACACAACAAAUAUGUACAACAUUUAAUCCUUUGAUUCAAAACACCACCCAAAGUUACCAGCAGUUAACUCAUCAGAUGGGCAGGAUUCUGACUUUUUUGGGGCGCCCUUGAUAUAAAUUGUGCCAUCUCCUAUUAACUAAGUUCCAGUCGAGCAACCUCCACCGAGGAUAGUCGAAGGGACCCAGACCCAAAAUGGUCCUGAAAUACUUAUGGUGCCAAGAGGCCAAAACAUUGAUCAAUUACUUAGAAAUGUCUAACAAAAUAAUUUGGGGGGAAGAAUAACAUAACUAACAUGAUAGAAUAGAUUUUGGCCCAAAAUGGCCUCAAUGUUGACCUUCAUUGGCCUAUAUAUAUGUCCCAUCUAUCGGAAUACAUUCGAUAAACCGAACUCCCUAGGGGGUGGAAAGUACCUAAAUUCACCAAAUUUUCUGGUGAGACUAAUGAGUCCACGAUCGAGCAUGUUGCUAGAUACCAUAAUGGAGUAUGGGAUGGAACAAAUAAUUAGAAUUUAAUGAUGAAAUACUUUUCAAAUUGUCUAACAAAAAAUGCUUUUACAUGGUUCAUCAUGCUCCCUCUUCAUUCCAUAUAAACAUGGAUCCAACUAGAGAGAGUGUUCCAUGAAAAGUUUUACAUGGGCCAAUAAAAGAUUAGCCUUAAGGAACUUGCCAGUUUUAGGCAUAAAAUGCCUGAAUCGACCGGUGAUUACUUGAAUAAGUUUUGAAUUCUUAAAGCAGGGUGUUUUAUGCAAGUACCUGAACAUGAGUUGGUCGAAAUGGUUGUUGAAGGUCUAGACUAUUCCAUUAGGAAUUACCUAAGUGAUAUGGCCCAAUUAGCAGAUAGGGCUCGACAGGUUGAACUAUUGAAGGCUGAAAAGGCCAGAUUGAGUAAGUACCAUAAAAAAGAAAAAGUAGCUUAUGUCGAGAUAACUAUUUUUUCGAAGAAAAUGAGGUUAAUAUGGUAGAAUUGAAGCUAAAACCUCCUUAUGUAUGUAAACUAUUGAAACCUUCAAAUGGGAAAAUCCCAUUGAACCAAAAAUGAAAUAUCUGUCACAAAAACUUAAACUUUUGACGUGACUAAAUGUGACCAAAUUUUUAACCUUCUAGUUUUUGAUGGCCAGAUAGUAAUCCAUAAGGGAUUGAAAACUUUGUCGCUAGAACAAAGAAAGAAAAAAGGUUUUUGUAAAUUUCACAAUUUUCUUAAACAUAAAACCUCACAAUAUGUGAGAGAUCUAGUUCAGAAUACGCUGAAGGACGAAAGACUUGAGUUUGCUGAGACACAAAAAUCUCUAAUAGAGGGUGAGCCUGAUCCUAAAGUUGAGAAGGUUUAGUUCGUCGAGCAUGUGGAUGUAUUUAUGGUUGACAUAAUUGUGACUAAGGGUGUUCGCGGUUCGGUUUGAUUGGUUUUGAGAUAAAAACUCAUCUGGUCAAAAGAUAACUUUAGUCGUGUUUCGAUUCGGUUUUGGAUGAUUGAUUAAAAAAAACUUAUCUGAUCCAAUUUCAUGCAGUUUAAUUUGGAUCAAUUUUUGGAUAUCGAAAUUACAAAUUAUCUAUUUAUUAAGAUUAUAAAAUGCUAACAAAUUAUAUAUAUAUAAUAUAUAUAUAUAUAAUAUAAUAUAUAUAUAUAUAUAUAUAUAUAUAGUAUAUAUUAUUAUAUUGAUUGGUUUUGAGAUAAAACUCAUCUGGUCAAAAGAUAACUUAGUCGUGUUCGAUUCGGUUUUGGAUGAUUGAUUAAAAAAACUUAUCUGAUCCAAUUUCAUGGAGUUUAAUUUGGAUCAAUUUUUGGAUAUCGAAAUUACAAAUAUCUAUUUAUUAAGAUUAUAAAAUGCUAACAAAUAAAUAUAUAUAUAUAUAUAUAAUAUAUAUAUAUAUAUAUAUAUAUAUAUAUAUUAUAUAUAUAUAUAUAUAUAUAUAUAUAUAUAUAUAUAUAUCAAAUUAAGAACGAUCGAUUAUAAUUGAAACAAAUGAGAUGAUAAAAAAAGUAGAUUAAUAUAAACUAAUCAAUAGUAUUAAAAAACUAUCACCAAAUAAUAAAUUAACAUAAUAUAUUAUAUUAAUAAAAAAUAAAAAAUAAUAAAGUUAAAUACACGCAGUUAAGUUUGGAUCGGUUUUGAAAAAUCAAUAUGAAAUUUGAUCUGAAUCGAACAGUUUUUACAAAAUGAAUUCAAACAUAUCCAAUAGUAUUCAAUUUUUUGCAGUUUUCGACUCUUUUUUUUAUCUAUUUGCGGUUUUUAUUUGGAUAAGUUUGGACUUGAACAUCCCUAACUAAGAGCACAUAAAGGGUUGAACCCGACUAUAAGGAGCAGAUGAAAGUUGUUUUUCCCAAGGUUGUGGAAGAACUCAAAGAGUUUCUAAAUAUAUGUAAACUCAAAGAUUCGAAGGUUAUGAUAUAUCCAUGUUGAAGUGUCAUAUUCGACCAAAAAAGCGACAAAAGCAUUAGAGAAAACCAACCUUGAUCAAGCAAAGAGAGUUGGCCGACGAGACCAACGCAAAUAAUUCUUAUUUAACAAUAUGAGAGUCCCUCAGGAGGCUUACAGACCUAAGACUUAUGUCCAUCUUGCUGAUGUUCCUACCAAAGAGUGGUCUGGAUCUGUAGGUAGGUCAACCGAUGAAAAAGGAAAGUGGAAGUAAAUCAAAGUGGGUGGAGGAUCUUCCUACCUCAAAAAUUCCCAUAAUUUUGAGAAGUAUUCCUAUGUUUAAUAAAACUACAUGAGAAAUAACCCCAUGACACACACUCAGUGGAGAAGGCACCAAAUAAAUAAUAAGGUUAACUCUGAAGCAGGAAUUGUAAGUAAGAACAGUAGCGUCCAAGCUAUGGUUGAUUGGCAAAAGGAAAAUAAGUCUGUUAAACAAAGUUUAUUUCCUCCACUACCACCAGUGGUAAAAAACGAACCUAAUAUUUUUGUCGGGUCCGAAGAGGAGAUGGCUAGCAACGACUUCGACUCUAGGUCAGAGGAUGAGUUAGAUAUCAUAUGCAAUAUGAUAUUAGUGUUAUCGUUGGAGUAUGAUACAAUUACUGAGGCAACUUAAGAGGAAGAUGAGCUUGCUGAAGAAAUGGCUACCCAUAAACCUUUAUGCUAUUAUAUGAUGCAUGAUGGCUCAGUUAAUGAGGAAAAGACCAUCUUCGAAAGGUCUGACAUGUUGAUGCAACAACGUCCGAAGCCUUUAUACACAAGGGCCAAAGUAGAAGAUGUCGAGGUUAAUAAGGUUCUUAUUAACUAUGAAGUAUGCAUCAAUUUCAUGACACGUUCUAUAUUUAAGAGAAUUGGCAAGUAUGGCCCUGACUUAAAGUCUAACAACAUGGUCUUAUCCAACUAUAAAGGGAAGACCGACUGAACCUUGGGGGUUAUCCAAGUGGAUGUGGUUUUAGGAACCACAACUUAACCUACUUUAUUUGUUAUAGUUCCAACAAAAGUGAAUUACAAUUUGUUGCUGGGUCGAGAAUGGAUUCAUAAAUUUGGCUGUGUUCCAUCCUCCAUGCACCAAAAAAUUAUGAUUUGGAAGUCAAACGGGAUCAUAGAGCAUAUAAAUAUUGACAAAAGCUUCUUUCGUGCAGAGUGAAUCAUAAAGAAAUUUUGAUCGACAACUAGCGAAUAUUUUGCCACGUGCGCCGACAAGAAUUGGCUUUGAUUUUAAGGGAGAUGAUGUAUAUUGCUCCACAAAGAUGCACCUUUUACAUGGCUUUAUCGGGGAGUUUGAGACCAUUAAGGGUUACAAGUAAUGGUCUGGAUCAGAUGAUGAAAAUAUUUGAGUCAUGUGUCUUGGCUCAGAAUUUUGCCUAUGUGGUUGAUAACAAACUAAUAGCGGUCAUAGAGGCCUAAUCACAAGGAAUGAUGGUUGUCGAAGCCACCCAUAUUGUAUAUAGUGAAACUGGCCAUAAUGGCCAAGAAACAGCUUCAGAAAGCCACAUGCUUGACUGCAUUUAUGACGAUGAGCCUUUAGGGUUUCAAAAAGAACCACUUACUUUGAACAAAAGGAUGCAAGCUCAAUAUCCUUUGGAAGAAGUUGACUCGGGGUACGGUUUGACGAAAUGCCAACUUACAUAUGCGCCAAACUCGACCUAACCCUAAAAGAAAGUGUAAUUGAGAUGCUGAAGAAGUUCAAGGAAUGUUUCACAUGGGAUUACCAUGAGAUGUCAGGUCUUACUCGGGAUUUGGUAGAGUUGAAACUGCCAAUCAAGCGAGAUAAUAGGCCACUAAAACAAACUCCAAUGAGAUUUUUGCAAGAAGUCAUGUCGAAAAUCAAGGCGAAAAUUAAAAUAUUGUUGCGAAAUAAGUUCAUAAUACCUACAAGGUACGUUGAAGGGUUCGCCAACAUUGUUUUGUAAUUAAAAAGAAUGACAUUCUCAGGGUCAGUAUUGACUUUAUGGAUUUAAAUGUAGUCACUCCAAAAGACGAAUAUCCAAUGCCAGUGGCAGAAAUGCUCGUCAACUUGGCGACUGAUUUUGAGUAUUUAAGUCUUUUAGAUGGUUAUUCAAGUUAUAACCAAAUUUUUAUUGCAGAGGAAGAUAUGGCUAAAACGGGUUUUUGAUGUCCUGAACCUUGGGCAUAUACGAGUGGGUAAUGAUGCCUUUUGGACUUAAAAAUGCCGGCGUAACCUAUGAAAGGGUAAUGAAUUCUAUGUUCCAUGGUUUUAUUGAAAAAUUUAUGCAAGUUUACAUAGAUGACAUAACUAUCAAAUCCUCAUCAGAAAGUGGACAUCUGGACCACCUUCGACAAUCCUUCAAAGGAUGAGAAAAUGUGGAUUCAAGAUGAAUCCAUUAAAAUGUGUGUUUUGUGUCAGUGUAAGAGAUUUCUUGGGUUUCAUGGUUCAUAAGAAGGGAAUCGAGAUACAUUAGAACAAAACAAAGGCUAUACUUAAUACAGAGCCCCAGACAACCAAGAUGUAACUUUAGUCUUUACUUGGGAAAUUAACUUAUUGAGAAGGUUUAUUUCAAACUUAAGCGGCAAGACAAAAGUAUUCUCACAAUUGCUACAUUUGAAAAAUGAGGAAGGUUUUAGAUGGGAACCGGAACAUCAAAAAGCACUUGAUGACAUCAAAUAGUAUUUGUCAAAGCCUCAUGUGUUUUACCUCUUAUGAGAAAUAAGAACAUGAAAUUAUAUGUUUUUGCAUCAGAUUCGAUAAUAAGCAGUAUGUUAGCCUAGAAAGAUGAUAAUGGCAUCAAAAGAGCCAUAUAUUAUCUUAGUCGUCUGUUAAUCGAUGCAAAAACUAGGUAUAGUGUAGCGGUAAAUUCAUGAUCAUAAAGUUAUGGAUAAGCUAGACAUCAAAUAACAAGAGUCGCCACCGCGCUUUUAUUAUUUCCAAGGGAAAAGGGAAAAAGUACGAACAAAACCCAAAAGUAAGAAGUUUUCAAAUCAAAACUAAUAAAAUGUCAGAGAUUUAUAUGUAAGGGGGUUGGUUACACAGAGGGAAGGUGUUAGCACCCAAAGUGCCCUAGGUACUCCUAGGGAGCCCUUUUGUGUGCAUAUGUAUUUGGUACAAAAUGAUGUUCACAAACAAAUAGAAUGGGGGAUGAGAAAAGAAUUCAUUAUUAUAUUUUUGUGUUUGACAAGACCUUCGGAUUGUGCCUAAGUACCAACAUAAAAAUGAGGGAUCAAAACCUCGUAUUCGUGAUACAAAUUUCAAAGUGGAUGCAUUGCUUUUAACAAAAUUAAGUUUGAAGGCACAAAGGCCAAAUGGCUUGAAUGAGUUAGUUCUUUUUGGCUUUUUUGAAAGUUUAAGUUAGGUAUAGUUAAGUUUAUUUACAAAAUUGAUUUAAGAAAGAAGUUUGAAAAUGCAAUGGCAUAAGGCCAAAGUUUCUAUCUUUUUACAAAAUGGUCAAAGUUUAGAACAAAAUAAGUUGAAUCAAAUAAGAUUUGAAAAGGAUGGAGAGAUUUGAAAUUAAAGAAAUGGGAAAAGAUGAAGAGACUAAUCCUAUGCAUAAAUUAAAAGAUUACAGAGUUGAAAAGAUCUGACCAAUGGGUAGCAAUCCAAUAGACAAGAAUGUCAAUAGAAACCCAGAAUUCCCUUGGACAUUUAGAAUCAAGCAACACACAAAUGCACAAUUAUAUUAUCUUGAAGAGCAAGUGUAAGACCCCAAUAUUGUCCCUAAGAUCCCUCAUGACAUCAUAUCAUAGCAUUGCAUAGCCUCAAGGAUCUUUGAGCAUUUUGCCUUCCUUUCCUUUGGGGUUGGGAUCUCUUGUGAGUGGUUUGAGAUCAUCAGGCAUUGCUGUAUAUCAUUGCAUUUCUUGUUUAAUCACUAACCAAAAGUACCAAAAAUAUGUCAUCUAACAUUUGUUUUUGCAGUCUAAGUAGCACAUGUCAAGGCAAUUCAAGAGUUUCCUUUGUGCAAGAGCUGAUGGUAUUUUCUUGAGAGGAAGAUCAUGUGAUCAUUAUAUUGAGCUUAUAUGAGCUAAGGUUCAUUUUGAAGCAAAUUCCCCAAGAGGUUGAAUCCCAAAUUCAUCAGGCAUUGUCCAGGCCAUUUGAGGCCCAAUACAAUCAACUGUACAGUCAAUUGAAGGCUUUGAGGUUGGGGAAUUGAUCUUAACAUCCUCAUUCAUGUUCAAACAAGGUCUAUUCAUCAUGUCAAACAUCCAUAUUGAAGAUUUUGAGGUCAAGUCAAAAGAUUCCAAAAAUGGAAAGUGACCUGUAAUUUCAAGUUUCCAAAAAUGGCAAGUUUUUGGACCAAAUUCAACUUGACUUUCCAACAUCAAAGAAGCUUCAAAUGAAAUUUUGUUGAACAUGAAAGUUGAAGAUCUUUCUCUCCCAUUUCCAAAAAGUCCAAGAUCAUGAGCAUCUGAUGAAUGGUUGAAGAAUUAUGAUCAAUAUUUUGUUGAACAUGAAAGUUGAAGAUCUUUCUCUCCCAUUUCCAAAAAGUCCAAGAUCAUGAGCAUCUGAUGAAUGGUUGAAGAAUUAUGAUCAAAUGAUUGCCAAGUGUGCAUGGAAGUUCAACAAGCCAUAACUUUUGAUCCAAAGCUCCAAAAUGAGCCACUCUUUUUGCAUUAUGCUUCUUAUGACCUAUAUUUUCCAAAUCCAACAUUGCAUCGCAUGAAAUUUACUCAUAUAAUCAUUUGCCCAUGCAUGUUCAUUUUGGAGGGAAAAUGAAGAAUUUGAAUUUGGUUAAUCACAUGAGCUAAAUACCAUUGACAUUGUGUUCAUUGGAAGAUUUUGAGUGAGUUUACACCUCCACAUGCUACUGUUCACGUCCAAAUUUGCCAUGCACCACACACUUACCAAUUUUGGUCAUACACCUUAUUUUUCUUAAUCUCAAUUAACCAAUGCAAAUGUGGAUUAGCAAUGUGAUUAGGACAGAAUAUAAAUGCCAAAUCAUAACAGAAAUUUGAGAACACACAUUCUAGAUCUAGAUUUUGGAUUUCCCUCCAUUUUUGCUCUCAUCUCAAAUCUCAAAUUCUUUCACAUAACACCUCAAUUUGACUGCAUAAUCGUGUUCAUGGAUCAUCACUGAGUGCAAAUCAAGUACUGGAUAUUGAAGGUUUUGGUGAAGAAACAAGCACAUCAAGCUCAAGAACAUGAAGAUGGAAGUGGCAAAUUAAUCAAGAUCCAGGUUGUGUCAAGCCUCAAUUUCUACAUCAAGCUUCAUAACAAGAGUAAAGGAGAAGAUCUGGAUACUUUUGAGGCCUCAAAUCCAGACAAAGUAGCAAGACGAGAAGUUCUCCACACUUUAAGCUAGGAGAUAAUUCUUGAUUUUAUGCACAUAAUAUUGUAGAUCUUUGAAUGCUGAUUACACUGAUAUGAAUACUUUUGAAAAUGGAUGAAUAUUGCUUGAGUUAUGUUGAUUUGAAGUUCGCAUGUUGAAAAUGUUUUCAUUCGAUUCUCAUUAUUCAUGGACUUUUAGCUGAAAAUAAUGAUAGAUCCUUACUCCUGGCUUCGAGACGGUUCUAACCAUGUAUAUAUUGCCUAUUUCUGGAAAAAAAAUUGUUGAGCUUCACUGUAGUUCCGCCGUCUCUACGAAGAAGACGGUGGAAACCACCGCUCCUCCACCACGCGUGUACAGUGCUAGGGCAUCCUGGUUCAUGCGCUGGAGUUGUACUGUAGAUAAGCCUCUCACCUUCGCGUCCUCCAUUCGAUUCCCACCUUUGGCAUUUCUGCAUUUUAUUUUUUGGCAGCGCCUUAUUUUAAUGUGUACUCGGUUCGAAUCAGGCAUGAUGCAAUUUCCAUUUCCAAUUCAUAUUUCAUUUUAUUUCAUGAUUCACAUUAUUUCAUAUUAUUUUCAACAAAUUCAAAAAAUCAUAAAAAAUAGAAAAUGAUUCCAAUUUAAUCCAAUUUUUUUGCUACAUGUUCAUCUUGAUGUCUAUUAUUUUGUGGUGUUGAUUUUUUGAUUUUAUCAUUUCUGGAAUGUUAAUUGUGUUGGCUUCUUUGAACAUGUAUGCAAAUGUGACAUGUUGUACCAAUUCUAUUGUGAAAUGCUCAUACAUUGGCCAAUUGAUUUGAAAUUUGGUAUGCUGAUUCCCAACAUGUUGCAUGAUUGUGUUGGCUUCUUUGAACAUGUAUGCAAAUGUGACAUGUUGUACCAAUUCUAUUGUGAAAUGCUCAUACAUUGGCCAAUUGAUUUGAAAUUUGGUAUGCUGAUUCCCAACAUGUUGCAUGAUUUUUGAGGCUUGGUUUUGCAUUUUUAUCAUAUUUCUUCUCUGUUUUAGACACAUGAAUGCAUGGUGUGACAAUGUGUGUCACACAAUUUGAUGUUGGUCUUGUUCAUUUUCAUAUACAUGUCAAUUGAGCUUUUCUGAUUCCAAUUUUUUGCAUGCUGCUUGUGUUUAACAUGUUGUAUGCACAUAAAAAUUUUCAUGAUUGUUUGAUUCAUUUCUAUUUUAAUAUGGAAUUUUCAUUCUUAAUGUCCAAUUGUGUGCUUUGUAAUUGCCUUUGCCUUAUUUUGUGCUUUAGAUGGCUUUGCUUAAAUGCUUUAGACUUGGUCCUUUUUAGGACAUUUUAAUACUGGUUUAAAUGUGCUUCAUGUUGAAUAUUGGUUAUUGUUUUGACUUUUUGCUUUGCCUUUGACCCUAGUCUUGGCACUAGUGGUUUGUACUCACCUUUUGAGUUUUGCAUUUCAGGUUCAAGCAAUUAACUCUAAUGAUUGAUGUUCUCUCAUUACUUGAGAUGCAAGUUACUUGUGUUAACUAACUUUGAUUGUAUUGUAGGUCCUUUGGUGGUGAACUCACUUGAGUGAUUGCCUUUUAGGACUUGCUUUGUUGUACAUAUUGGGAAUGUCUUACUGUUACCUGUUGGUUGUUUGUCUGAACAUAGUACUGAUUGUUUAGCUUUUCAUACAGGUACAUUAGCCGCUUUAGCUCAUUAUUUGAGCUUUGCUUUGCUUGUGGUUGGCAUACCACUUAGGUAACCUCUCUAACUCCAUGUAGUCUGGAAGCCCUGUCGUUUCUUUUGGCUGGCAUUUGGCUGAAGUCCUCCUUAAGAGGCAAUGAAUGUGAUUGUUUAUAUUUGUGCCAUGUAUUUCAAGUCCUCCUAAGUGAAGAGGCGAUUGGCAGAUAGAAGGGAUUUGCAAUCAAUCCCCUGCUAUUCAGUUGAGUCAUUCAUCAUGCUCGCACUAAGUGCUGAUGCAUUUUGAAUAAACACCCAAAAUCUUGUAUAGAGUCAGUCAUGUGGAAUAGGGUCCCUCAUUCUGGACCCCCACACCUUCUUUGAUUCAAGCUCACCCCGGCCAAGGCUAAGAGCUAUGAGGUCUAAUCCUCAUUUCCCAUUUCAUUCACUCACCCUGACGGUCAAUGUCAGUGGUUAAGAGCCUGAACACCCAUAACAGUAUUGGCUUGUUUGUCAAGGUUGAUAUGACCCCUUGACUAAAGCCCAACUUUGUCUGAGCCUCUUGAUUGUGUAUAGAGUGUGCUAAUUGAUUGAUGUGAUUACUUGUGUUUGCUUUUGCAUAUUGUUUUGCAUAUUAUUUUUGCAUUUGUUAUUUACUUUGUUUGAGGAGUCAGAUGUAAGACCAUUGAUUGGCUAUCUGUUUCCUGUUCCUUUUGGGGAGCUGGAUAUAAGACCAUUGAUUGGCACUCCAUUUCCUGUUAUGUUUCUUUUGUGGAGUCAAAUGUAAGACCAUUGAUUGGCUAUCUGUUUCCUAUUCUGUUUUCUCUUGUGGAGUCAGAUGUAAGACCAUUGAUUGGCUAUCUUUUUCCCAUGUUGCUUUGUGGAGUUGGACGUAAGACCAUUUAUUGGCACUCCGUUUCCCAUCUCGUUUCGGAGUUGGAUGUAAGACCAUUUAUUGGCAAUCCAUUUCCAGUUUUGUUGCUCCUUUGAGUUCUCGUUUCGGAGUUGGAUGUAAGACCAUUUAUUGGCAAUCCAUUUCCAGUUUUGUUGCUCCUUUGAGCUUGCUUAUUUGCUUACUGCUUUGUGUUGCCUAAUUCCAAAGGAACUUCCUUGGAUCAUCUCUAUAAUCUUGAGAAAGCAACUCCUAUUUGUGGCUUUGUUCCCUUAACCCUUUUGUGCUUAACCUUGAACCUUGUUUCCAUCCUUAACCCAAACCAGAAAAACUUUUGUGCAAACAUUUUGACUGGUUUUCAAAACUAGAAACCUAGGCCUUAAGCCUUUGAUUUUCAAAAUUCUCAUUUUCACUGAUACUCAUUGUAAAUGAACUCUAAUUCAUACUUUGACCUCAUUUUGUGAAUAAUGCUAAUUGGUUAAUUCAACCCACUCAAUUGCUUUUGUGGCCCUUGACCACUUCUUAAUCAAGUUUUCAUGUAUUAGCCAUAGAUCUGAAUUAUCUUAGUGGUUGAUGUGAAUCUCACCUUUGUCCUUAGUGAUUGAAUUGUAAGACUUCCAUGCUUAUUAUAGAGCAUAAUCCCUCACUAGCAUGUCGAAGUUGUUCUCACAUAUUGGACUUGUGGUUGUUCAGGUCGAGUUUUCUCCCUUUGAUAAUGAAAGACCUUAAGGCUUUUGUUUAAAAUCAAUCCACUCACUUUUUGGAAAUCUUUUAGCCGAACUACGGCGUUUUGAUCCUUAUCUUUCAUGAAAAGGUUAAGGCUUUUGUUUAAAAUCAAUCCACUCACUUUUUGGAAAUCUUUUAGCCGAACUACGGCGUUUUGAUCCUUAUCUUUCAUGAAAAGGUACGUAGGCAAUGGGUUCAUCCAUCCAAACACAAAAAAUGUAAAUAAACUUGUAUAUUCUUUUCUCAUCUCUUCAAUCAUGUUUGCACAAAAUAAUUUCAUAAACAAUAACAAUACAACAAGUUGUGAAAAGGGCUCCCUAGGAGUACCUAGGAUGUUGUGGGUGCUUAACACCUUCCCAUGACAUAACCAACCCCCUUACCCAGAUCUCUGACCUUCUUUUACUAGUUUUGUUUGUAAAACUUCUUAGGCUUUUGUUCGCUUUCUAGCCAUUCCUUUGGAUAAAUAGAAGUGCGGUGGCGACUCUACUUUGUAUAAACACACAAAAGUUUUUUAGGGUUUUUGUUGUUAUUAUGUACAUUAAUGGUCAAAGACCAUACAAACAAGCAAAGUAUACAUAAACAAGAUAUAUCACAUAAUAUGGUCCAAAUGGAUAAAAUGAAAAUUGCAUUAACAUACACAAUUAGAAUGGUAUGAAUAAUGGCAAAUGAAUAAAGACUAAAAUUAAAUGACAUUAAAGUAAAUGGCUUGAAAUUAAAAGUUAAUCAUUAAUGAGUUAGAAGUUAGUAUUGUUUUGCUUUUUCUUUUCAUUUUUAAGUCAUUCUUUGGAGAACACUCAACCCACUUAUCACAAGCAUGGAUCCUUGAUCCAAGACAUCUUCCAAAUGAAGGAAUAAAGGCCAAGUUUCCAUACAAUACCAUGAAAGAUGGGAGACUUACAAUCUCACUAACUAGAAUGAUAUGCCUUUUUAUGUCACAAAUUUAGCGCUAUGUUAAGCAAUCGUAAUUGGACUUAUGUAGAAGUCACAACUAUUUGAGGUCGGGCAAUAGAAUUUUGGUGUUAAUGCAUGUUAGAGACAUAUUAUAUAUCGUAAUUGGACUUAUGUAGAAGUCACAACUAUUUGAGGUCGGGCAAUAGAAUUUUGGUGUUAAUGCAUGUUAGAGACAUAUUAUAAUGGACUAUGCUCAUGAAACAUACCACACACAAAAAGAAUGUGCAAAAAGAGGUGGCCUAAUCUCAUCCAUAAUUAUGUUGAUUUUUCAAUCAACUAGCCUUAGGACUUUGAGAUAUCAUAGGCCAAAUGAGAUGGAUGCAUAAAGAAGGGGAAUGAGAUGAAGAGGGAGGGGAAUGGAUUAAAACUCAAAUUAGUCAAAGGAGGACUUUUACCAAAUUAAUAUCAUUUAUUCAUUUUGGGGGAUGAAAUGUACAUUCCAUCAAUCCCCUAAAUCCAAUGAUAUUAACUUGACAAAGUCAAAUCAACCUUGACCAAGACCCAACAACAAAAGUCAAACUCAAACAAGUCAUCACAAUUGGUCAACAUAAUUAAUUGGCAUUUAUUCAAAUUAAAAAUACUAAAAUAAGGAAUUUAAAUUAAACAUGGUUUGUCAAAUUCCUAAAACCUCAUCAAAACACCAAAGAAAUGGCCAUGAGAUUUAUCAUAGGUCAAACAAGGUCAAAGGACCUUGGAGAAUUUUUUUUAGAAUUUUUAAAGACUUAAAAGUAUUAUGGCCAUGAGAUUUAUCAUAGGUCAAACAAGGUCAAAGGACCUUGGAGAAUUUUUUUUAGAAUUUUUAAAGACUUAAAAGUAUUUUUAAACAAUUAAAAAUAAUCACAAAAUCAAUUAAAUCAUGAUUUUUUUUAAUAAUGAUCCAAAAAAUAAUUUUAAUUCAGAAUAUGAAAGAGGAAAUUAUUUGAAUUUUUUUGGUGAAACUCUCAUAUUUUUUCGAUCAAUAUUAAAAUUAAUAUGAAUUAAUGAAAAUAAAAGGAAUAAAACAAAAAUCAGAAAAUAUGAAAAAACAUGAGCCACUUGAUCUCCCUCAUUAAUUGAGGUGGCAGAUCAAGUGACCUACAUCGCGCGUUCCACCGAACACAUGAGUCAACACGCUCCAAGGAUGCUAAUCACAAUGGACGCGUGAGAUUAAAACAUUUUGAAAUGAUCAUGUGGCUCAGAACCUGUCCAGCACACCCCAGCGCUGGACCUCCGGUCACCUUCUCAGGCAAGGCUCACCGGACUGGUUCAGUCAUCACCAUCACAUAGAUGAAAAAGGAGGACAUGAUCUGAAAGAAAAAAUGGCGUAGAGCACAAAUCUGACCUCAAUUUUAACUAACUCCACAUAUAUAGAAAGAUAUGAGGAGUUGAAUUUUGAGGUGUGUCAACUGAGUUGCUUCAAUUUGACCUCUAAGCAACUCAAUCUUCUUGCCUAUAUUGGUAUGAAAGAUAUGAGGAGUUGAAUUUUGAGGUGUGUCAACUGAGUUGCUUCAAUUUGACCUCUAAGCAACUCAAUCUUCUUGCCUAUAUUGGUAGGACUUCAGACAACCAAAGAUCCAAGAGAAUUGAGUAAGAAUCAAAGAGAUGAAGUUUUUUGAAAAUUACCUUCAAUGCUAUGCAGUUCUUGAUGUGGCUUGCUCCAAACACGAUCUGAUCACACUUGAGAAGCUAGCAGGAAGUGAUUAGAGAGGUUGCAAGGCUUUGGAUCAUGGAGUUCUUGAAUCUCCAACAGUUGAGAUUCAAACUCAAAUUUCAAAUUGAAAUUUCUCAGGUUUUCCUUUAGAAUGAGAAGGUUUCAAUAGGGGGCAAAGCUGGCACGCAAAGUUUUCUUCAAAUGAGCUCAGAGGCCUUCUAUUUAUAGCAAAAGGGAAUGAUAUUUGCACACUUCAAAAUCUGUCCAAAAUUGGCAAUAUGGAUGGCACGAGUGCAUGGGUAUGUACAAGCCCAUGAUGCAAUGCAAAAAGGUCCAAAAUGAUUCCAAUUGAGGUCUGAAUGAAGCUUGAAUGGCAAGGCAUUGUGAACUGAAGUUUAUGCAAUUGAUUCUUUCCAAUGAUACAACCCUGUUAAAGCCAUGCGCAGACCUGGCAAACCUCAUCCAAAAUGCAUGAACUUAGGUUACUUGGAAAGCUUGGAUCAAGGGGAACAAGUUUUGUGUUCAACACUUUUUCAUUUGGAGUUUGGAACAUGGAUAAUUUUGAGGUGGAAGUUUGGAAAUUUCAACAUGUUGAAAAAAUUUCUAAGUGUCAAGCCAUAUACCUCAAUAUUCCACCUUGCUUAACUUUUUAUGUGAGUUUCAAAUGAGAAACAUGUAUUCAUCAAAGUUGUAUCCCUUUCAAAGACCUUCAAAAUGGUCACAAAUUUAAUUUCAUUUGGAUUUGUAAUGAUAGAGUUAUGCAUUUUUGAAGUUUGGAAAAAUCACUUGUUCAAUGGUAUAGGUAAAAAAUGACCUAUAAUGUAUCCUCAUAUCACAUGCUCAUAAAAGUUGAAUUUGAUUUCACUCCAAACAUCAAAGUUGAAGUAGACAUCUUUAAUUUGAUUUUUCAACUUGGAAAUCUUUAAUCUCAUAAAAAUUGAGCAAGUUAUGGCCUUGAGAAGUUGACUUUCAAAGUAGGGUUUAGACAAAAUGACCUAUAAUGUUUCAAUAUAGAAAAUGAUUUUCCAAGCAAAAAUAGCUCUAGGUAUCAACAUGAAAGUUGUUUGUAAUGUCAUUUAGAGUAACUAUUCUCUUGGAAUAAUUUUCAUAUGGUGAAAAGUGUAGGAGAUAGGGUCUAGGGAGACUGAGUUUUGAUCAGAUGAAUUCAUUUGGCCAACCACCAUCAACCAACUUGCUAACCUUCAAUUCUUUUGACUUUUUAGGCUCAUGAUAGAUAAUAUAUGCAUAAGAUGAUGAAUUUUGAAGUGUCCUUUGAGAAAUUUGAUCAAUUGGUGAGAUAGCUUGUUGGAAAAGUUACUCAAGAUACCCAACCAAACUAGGGUUUCCAAGGCAAAUCACCUCCAAACUCUUGAAGAAAAUUUGAUCAAUAUAACAUGUAGUAAUCAACGGAACUCAUAUAUGAUGCUUAUAACCAUUCUUGGAUCAAUUCAAUGGUUGUUCUCUUUGUCAUGAGGGUCUCAAACCCUAGAUAUGAACUUGGUAGGUCAAUGGAGAUCAUGCCCUACCUACAAAAGAGUUAGGCAAAUGCGAAGACAUAUUUUGUAUUUUGGUUAGUAAAAUGAUAAUAUAUAAGUAUGAUACAAUCACAUAAUGCUUGGUGAUCUAUCCCAAAACAAACCCAAUGAAAGAGGGGUAAGGAGGAUGUCAAGGUAUGAUCUCAAUGCUAAUGCAUAUGAUGAAAUUGCAUGAGGGAUCUUAGGGUCAAAAUUGGGGUCUUACAUAUAGCUUGAUAAAAAAGUUGUGCAUGUAUUUGUAUUUUUCAUGUAUGAAAUUAAAAUAUUAUAUUAAAUCGACAAAUGUGUUUGUUUACUCACACUUUUGCAUUAUAAAAGAUCUUGCCAAAACCAAUUCUACAUAGUAGAAAAUGAAAAUUGGGUUUGGCACUAACAAAAUAUUAUUUGACAUAUGCACUGUUAAGAGCCAUGAAAGAUCAAAUUGUUGUUGAUUUCAUAGUGGAUCAUGCAAUGACAAAAGUAACACAAAACUAUGUCGAGCAAUCAACAGUGAAGUUAUCUCCCCUUAAGGAAUUCCAACCAAUUGCAGAUUUAAAAUUAACGGUUAUUGCUCGAAUAAUGAGGUUGAAUAUCAAGCCUUAAUAACGAGUCUUUCCAUCUUGUUAGACCUUGGCGCAAGAGUCGAGAUCAAUGGAGAUUUAGAACUAGUGGCAAGGUAAUUAACAAAAGAUUACAAAUGCAUUAAUGAGAAUUUAUAAUUGUAUUUUGUCAAAACAAGCUUACUAUUAGGGAAGUUCGACAUGAUUGGCAUUAAACAUGUACCACUAAUCGAGAAUCAAAAGGCCAACAAAUUGGCACAUAUUGCCUAAGGGUAUCGAGUAUCUAAAGAAGAAAUGGAAGAACUGAGAGGUCAAAGACAAAUUGAACUUGAACAAUGUACUAGCUCCAGAAUUGGCAAUGACGAAACUGGCGGGAGUAGACAAAUUUGGAGAUCUAAACCCCAAAAUUUUCAAAAAACUUUUGUCACUAAUAACUUAUCAAAUGACGAUUGGAGGAAACCAAUUAUAGAGUUUCUGAAGAACCUAAUGGGAAUGACAGAUCGAAAGAUCAAGUAUAAAGCGUUAAGUUACAUAAUCAUUGACAAUAAGUUUUUCAAAAAUACUCAUGGGGGAGUUUUACUUAAGUGCCUAACUAGCAAUAUUUAGUGCACACAAUGGAUCAUGUGGCGCCCAUCAAGUAGGUCACAAAAUGAAGUGGUUAUUAUUUUGACAAUAGAUCUACUGGCCCACCAUGUUGAAAGACUACAUAUAAUUUACAAAAGGGUGUCAGGAAUGUCAAAAGCACACAUGGAUUCAACAUGUCCCAUUCAGUGUGCUACAUGCAAUAAUUAAACCUUGGCCCUUUAGAGGUUGGCCAUUGCAUUUGAUAGGCGAGAUUAGACUGGCAUAAUCUAAGUCUCACAAAUACAUUUUGUAGGCAUCGACUAUUUUACCAAGUUGUUCGAAGCAGUACCUUUGGUAAAUGUCGAUCAAGAUGUGGUGAUUAACUUCAUCCAAAGUCACAUAAUCUCUAGACUCGGGAUUCCUGACACAAUAACCACAUAUCAAGGAUCAGUGUUUUUGGAAUAAAGAUGGUUGAGUUCACCUCAGGGCCAGAAAUCAAGUUGUUGAUCUCCACUCCUUAUUAUGCUCAAGUAAUUGGUUAAGUCAAGGCUGCAAAUAAGGUUGCAAUUAACCUGAUUAAAAACAUGCAGGCCAAAAGCCAAAUAAUUGGCACAAGACACUAGACCAAACACUUUGGGAUUGUUGAAAGUGGGAGUUAUCAUCCCACAAGGCAAGUGGAACAUGUUGGUCGACGUGUCUCAAAAGCACAUAACAGAAAUUAGCAUGUGUGAGUUGCAAGAAUGGCCCACUAUUGAGAGCUGGAUUAGGUCAAAGAUGCCCAAAUCCCUCAAAAAAUGUUUCUUAUUCUCUUCAUCUAUGUUCAUACCUUUAAUGUAUUCAACAUUCUCAGUUGGAGGGGAAAGAGGAAUAAUAGAAUACUUUGUUCUUAAAGAAGUUGAAGUUGAAUGGUUUGUCAACGAACAUCAAGGGUUCUUAAUCAGGGUAAGUUGGUAAGAAAUCCUUCACCAUGUGAGGUUUCUUGACACACCUGGGUAGUGGAUCCAAGAAUGCAUACACAGAUCUAGCAAAAGUGUAAGGAAUGAGGGAAGCAUAAUACCAUGAUUUCCUUCUUUCAUCCUCCAUAUGAGGAUUAGGGACAUACAUGCGAUCAUUGACAUAUAGUGGUGCAUCAAUAUCAGCAACAAAAGGUGGGUGAGAUUGAGUUGGAAGUGCCAUUAUGGUAAAUGAAGUUCCGGUUGAAAGAGUUUUGUGGAGGAAAAAUGGAGUUGUAAAGGAAAGAAAUUUCCCAAGGUGGUUUCGUUGUCUAUUGCAUAAUGAUGGAAGUGAGGAAGAAGAAAGUGUUAGAGGUAGCACAUUAAAUACCCAAAGGAAAAACGAUUCAAUCCCUCCACCCCCAAGUGACUUUAGCCACAUGGUGUGUUUGAAUCGAUAAUUGGCAUCAUAAAGGUCACGGGGAAAGAUGAAAGUGGAAUUAAGAAGGUUUUUUCUUGAUUUCAUUUUUAAUUAAGGCUCAUAGGAAAUAAGGAUUCAUCAUUAUCGAUUGUACGUAUGCUUGUGAUGUGACAUUCUUGGGUAAAAUGGUCAUAAUGACCAGAAUCAUAAUUAAUUACUUUGGUGUUUCAUUGAAGUGAUGUGUAAAGACUAGGCAAACAGUGUCGAAGGGCUUCAAAAAUGUCAACUUUCUUCCAUUUGAUCAUAUGAUCUAAAAUGACCUUUUUGGGGGGCAUAUGUGAACUUGGGACUUUAUACUUAGUAGGAAAAGUCAAAUGGAUGUUCCAUUUUAUGAAAUGUUAAGUGUUGACAUUAAUGGAUAAGAGUUGAUAGUGAUGAAACAUCGACUGAGGCGUCUCGACUGACAUCUUGAGAUAUAGUUUGGAAGAAUCUCAAGAGAAAAUCUUGAGAAUUGGUUUGUGUAACACCCUAAAAACCCACGCAUAAUUAUCAAAGAAUUUAAUUAACAAAAUAAAAUCACUCAGGAUGUCACUCACAAUAAUCAUAGCCUUCUCUAUAACACUGGUUACAACAAAACAUUUUACUGCAUACAUUUGCACUUAGGAUGUUUACACGACAUCCAACUUAUCUGAAUAUCUUCGCAGCAUAAUCAUAAUAAAAAAACAUACCAAUUUAAAAUCUCGUAAUAGUUUUCAUAACAAAAUUAAAAGCACCGACUCGUGAGUCUUCUCUAAGUACUGUCACACCAAAACAAAAAAACAAAUAUGAGAGCAUGCAUUGUCUCUUAAGAAAUUUUAACACAAAAUAAAUAAUUUGCUCCCCAAUGUUACAUAUUAGAGCAUAACCAAAGCUAACACGAAUAAACUAAAAGAAAUAGCUCCAGGAGCUAACUCGCCAAAAAUGGCCAUGAAAUCAUCACCAAAAAUAUUUUACCCCUAAAACAAAGUUAUUCCCUCUGUUUUAGAUACCCAAUUCUUCAAACACCAUUCCAAAAUGAUUUACGACUCGAAAUUUAUGAUCAAAACCGUGCACGAAGGUGUUACCAAAAAUGUAUUGUUUUUCUGAAAUUUCCAGCACGAUUUUGAUAUUUUCCAACCCCUAAAACGACCAUGAAAUAAUCACCAAAUUUUUUUAUGGUUUUAAAUUCAGUCAUUAAUAUACUUAUAUCAAUCACUUCUUAUAUUCAUAUAAUCAUGGAUCUAUAUACUAUAUAAAUCCCUAAAAACUUCAAACAUCAUCAAUGAUGAGCAUACAUGAACACUUUAAAAUAAAAAUUUCAUUCAACAAAUAUCAACAUUCAUCCUCAAUCCAAAAAGAAUUAAACUUUCUUCUACCCUUCCAUUCAUAUCCCUAUUAUUGAACCAAAUUUCCACCCUUACCUUGUAAUUCCAGAAAAAUUCAAGCUUUUAGUUAUGACUUCUCUUCCCUAGAGCUCUCCUUAGGUUUUUCUUGCUUUUCUCUUCUCUUGCUUCUUUUUCUCCAAUUCCAAAAAUUUCACCCCACUUCUCUCCUCAUAAAUCAAAAACUUAAUUUCUAUCUUUCUAAUAUUCCACUAAAGCCUAACUUAUUACUAAGUUACAUUAUUUAUUUUAAUUUUCCAUAAUUCACACUUUCCACCCAAACUCAUUAUUUCCUUUUAUUUUAUUAUUUCAUUUAAAUAAUAACACUAAAAUACUAUUUAAUCAAUUAAGUAAUUCUAAAUAAAUCUAUCAACCUCUAAUUAUCCUAUGCACUCUCUACCUAAGGGUCACUCAUAUUUGUUACCCUAAAAUAUCUCAAUUAUCAUACAAAUAAUAAUUAGAUAGACACAUAAAAUUACAAUUAACUAAUGUAAACAAUUUUUAGAAAAACGGGGUGUUAUAGUUUGAAGGAGUCCAGGAACAAACCUGGGUAACUACUUAACACCAUGUCGAGGAGGGGCUUUUUGACAGACUCCAAAGACUUAGAAAAUUGAGGGAGCCAAAGACAGAAGAGACUUAAUAAUAUCAACAACUACCUUUGAUGAGUAGGUAGUUACUAGUAACUAAGUAGUUAGAGAACGUGGGAUAAUGGUUUCAGAAGUUUCAUAGCUUUGAUAAUGUGGUAAUGUGUUGGAACAAGAGUUUCAUGCAUUCGAAGACAUGUUAAUUCUUUAGGUGUAAACCGUCGAAGGCAAUUAUUCUUAGUUUAAUAUAUAUAGCAGACUCAUAUGAUAUAAUCAAGGUCACAAAUCUAAUAUACUUUAUCAAUAUAACUGGAGUACCUAAGUCAUAUAGUGAAAUAGUUUGUGAAUAAUAUGUGAGUCUGUGUCCUCUUUUCUUUGUACUUUCCUUAAUUGAAACAUCUUUUAUUUUGUCUUUUACUGCAUUUACUUAAUGUUGUUCAUUCUAAACUUUUGCACUUUAAUUCAAGUUUUAUUGUAUUUAAAGUUUACUUUUUCAUUGUCUGCAUUCAAAUAUUUGUAGUCACAUCCUACACAUUCGUUCUUGUAAAAGUUUUUGCAUAAAACCAAUCUCAAGAUGUUCGAGUUUAUCUCAAAGACUUUCAAACUCGUGAUUGUUUGUUAAAUACACUUGCGAACAAUAAGUAAGUGGAAAUAAUGACAUAAACUUACUUUGUCGCGUAUGGGAAUGUGAAGCCGUUCUCGUUGGCGAUUGCGAGUGACAACAUUUUUUACCAACCCUAUACUUUGAGCAAAAAAGCGCAAGAAUAAAAUGAACAAGUACCAUUUUGUGCAUUUUUACACAAAAACUUAUAUAUAUGAGACAAAACAGGUGAACUCCAACUAUAUGUUUUUAUUUUAUUUAUGUCUCUUAACAAAGGUAAAUAUAUAAUAUUUACAAUAUUACUAGUAGUUUUAGGAAAUAAAAACUUAUCAAAUAGUAACAUAAUAUAACACCGAGUUUUAGUUAUUUUUUCAUUCUCAUUCGAAUCUUCGAUUAAUAUCAUAUUUGAAUAAUGUUGUUUAAGGUGCUUUAGAUUUAUACAUUGAUCCCAUGUUAUGUCUUAAAUUAAAGCGAUACCAAAAAGUUGCUCGCAUAUUGCAUUAUCUUGUUUAACUCGACCAUUAGCAACCCUACCUUUGAUUGAUAGACCCAACACCAUGUACACAAUCUCUAGUAUGACGGUACACUCACCAAAUGAAAGAUGAAAUAUAUGUGUCUCAGUUCUCCAUCUUUCUAUAAUGUGAGGAUAAAUUUGUAACCAACAGAAUAAAAGACUAUGUUGAGUAAAUUACCAAAACCGACUUCUCAUAAAUAUGGUUCUAUCAACUUGUCAUGUGGGACAUAUUCAUGUACACAACAAUAAAAUCUCUUUAAAUCCUAACAAAAAAUAAUUAAGGAAAAUAAUUAACGAGAAAUUUAGUAAUGGAACGCAAAAUUUAGUAGUAUAUUUGUAAUAUUAACUGACAAACUCCUGAAUAUUGUUGAUGGCUCCUCUAUGUGUCUCACACAUGGUUAAUAAAGCCAUAUUUUAGAAUGUUUAUGUGUGUUUAUUCUUUAUAAAAAAUAUUACAAAUAAUGUGUUUAUAGAUUGUUUAUGAUGAAAAUGUGUUGAGCUAGUAUGGUAUUUAUAGAGACUUGAGGUAUUCACGUGAAUUUUUUAUGCAUGCAAGAAAUCACUCAUGUGCCAAUGCCUAUAGGGAAUGCUCAUAGUUUAACACUCAUGCGCCAAUCAAAGUGGCGAAAUAUUGGAGCAUGCAUGCAGGAGCAGUGUAGCAGCUUUGCAAGCUAAGAAGGCUAGGCACUCAACAUGACAUGCAUGCAGCUUUGCAGAACAUGUGAAAUGCCAUUGCUAAUGACGCCAAUGUGUAGCAUAUAAGGCAUACGCCAAUGCAUAUGACACAUUAGUUAUUUUUGGCCCAUGCUUUUUUCAGCCUAGUUAAGCUCACCCGUCUGCCUUUAUGAGCCGAGCUACGUUGGAUUAUCACCACCAAAAUACACUAUAAGCACACGAAAAUACACUACUAGCAAACAUAUUUUUUUUACAAAAUGCCCCAUUCACCACAAUACAUGAUCAACACUCACAUCAAUGGUGAGACAUUUGACUAUGAAAUAUAUGAUUUUAAUUUUCAUAAUAUUGAUAUUACCUAGUUUAGAAUAAAUAAAAGAUCAAAUUUCUCGCAUUUGAAAGAGAGAAUAGAGGUGAAGUUGCAGUGUGGUCCAAUGUCAUAAAUCAUUUACAAAAAUCCAGUUAUUUUUACCAACAAUCAAGUCAAUUUUUUCCAGCUAGAGGUUCGAGAUGACGAAGAUGUUCAAAAUAUGUUUCGAACUCAUGAACAUUUCGGGUUCAAUGAUAUCGAGUUGUAUAUUUUACUACAACGAAAAUUAGUUGUGUCCGAUCGUUGAUUUGUCACAAGUUUUUUGUGAAAUUGACGACGACAAACAAGCUGAAGUUUAUGCCGUUGACGGGGAAGAAGAAAAAGAUGAGAUAUUGGUUGAUCAUAUGGUGAAUGAUGACACUGUCGACCACGAGCAAAACUUUUUACCUUCGAUCCAUGUGUAUUAUCUGCCUCAGUGUAAGACCCCAAUUUUGACCCUAAGAUCCCUUAUGCCAUCUCAUCAUAUGCAUUGGCAUUGGGAUCACACAUUGGCAUUCUCUUUACCUUCAUUCAUUGGGUUUGCAUUGGGAGAGGUCACCAAGCACUUUAGAUUGUAUCAUACUUUGUUUUUCUUUAUUUACUAACCAAAAUACCAAAAAUAUGUCAAUGUAUAAUUUGUUGCUUUUGUAGGUAGUGUGUAUGUUCACCUAUGCUCCAUAAAGUUCAUAUUUAGGGUUUAAGACCCUCAAUGCAAGGAGCUGAAUCAAGAAAUCUUUCACAUUGGCUCUAAGUAUCGUAUAUGGAUCUCCAUGAUCUUCACAUGUUAUUUUGAUUAAGAAAUCAUCUAGAGUUUGGAGUUGGUUUGCCUUGGAAACCUUAAUUCAUUUGGGUAUCUUAUGUGACUUCUUCAACAAAUUUCUUUAACAAUUGAUCAAAUAUAUAAAGGGAUACUUCACAUUACAUUAUCUUAUGUAUAUAUGAUCCUUCAUGAGCCCCCAAAGUCAAGAGAAUAUCAAGCUAGCAAGUUGGUUCAUGGUGGUUGACCAGAGAAAGUCAAUUGGUUAAAACUAGGGUUCCCUAGACCCUAUCUCCUACAAUUGUUUGUCAUAUGAAAAUGAUUACAAGAGUAAAGUUACUCUAAAUGACAUUACAAACAACUUUAAUGUUGAAGUAAAGAGCUAUUUUUACUUGGAAAUUCAUAUUUUAUUGUGAAAGAUUAUGUGUCAUUUUGUCUGAACCCUAGUUUAGAGGUCAACUUCCCAAGACCAUAACUUGCUCAAUUUUUAUGAGAUGAAAGCCAUUAAAAUUGCAUGAUAAAUUAAAGAUAUCUAAAUCAACUUUUAUGUUUGGAGGAAGUACAAAUUCAACUUGCAAAUGCAUGUACCAAGAGGAAACAUUAUAGGUCAUUUUGGGCCAUUACCAUUGAAUAAGUGAUUUUCCUCAACUUCUAAAAUGCAUAACUCCUUAAUUCCAAAUCCAAAUAAGGUCAAAUUUAUGACAACAUUUAAUAGGUUUGUAAGAGUUACAACUUUGAUGAAGUACAUUUUCUCAUUUGAAGUCCAUAGAAAAAGUUAUUCAAGGUGGAAGAAGUGAACAUUUGACUUGGGACUUAAAAAAAAUUCAAAUAUGUUUGAUUUCCCAAACUUACACCUCAAAAUUCAUCAUGAUCCAAGCUUCAAAUGAAAAAGUUUUAAACAUGCAAGUUAUUACCCUUGAUCUCACCUUUCCAAAAGGUCCAAGAUUAUCUCAUUUGGAUCAAAAUUGAGGGACUUGCACAUGGCUUCAUUAUGGGGAGUAUUUUGGCAAGAUUGGAUUUCAAAUGAUCAAAUUCUUUUGCGUGCUUCCACAUGAUGGAUUCAGUAUACUUUGCACACGAAUUGGAAGUGGAUUGCAUCAUUCCUAAGGCCCAAAUUAUUUAAUAUGCAUCCAUGCAAGAAGGUUUCUAAAAUUGGCCAAAUUUCAAGUGGUGCAAAUAUCAAGUGCAUUUCCUAUUUAAACAAGCUGAAGGCUUUAGAUUCAGGAUCAAGACCUUGCCCAAGCUUUGCUACACCAAUUCAAACCCUCACUGCCAUAAAAUUUCUAAAGAUUUCUCUUGAGAUUUCUCUUGAACUUCAUCUUCUGUUUGGAAUUUCAAACCCCAUAAAUUCACUUCCUUUUUCAUCUCAAUUGAUUUCUGCAAGCAAGAGGAAGAGAAAGCAAUCAAAUCCAUAUUAAGAUCAAGUGGAAUUAGAUCAACUCGAAGGUGAUUUUUCAGAAACUUCUUCUCUUCGAUUCUCCCUCAAUUCUUCACCAUUCUUUGUGAUUUUUGGUUGUCUAAAGUCCUAUCAAUGUAGGCAAGAAGAUUGAGUUACUUUUAGGUCAAAUCGAAGCAACUCAGUUCAUGAUCCUCAAAAUUCAAAUCCCUGUAUCUUUUUAUAUACUUGGAAUUGGACAAAAUUGAGGCCAGAUUCGAACUCCUGAGCAUUUUUUCUUUAAAUUCAUGUCUUGCUUUUUCAUUUAGGUGAUGGUUGAUGGUGGACCAGUCCGGUGAGGUCCGCCGGAGAAGAAGACCGAAGCUCUAGCUCCGGUGAUGUGUUGUCAUGCAUCUCAACCAUAUGAUCCAGUUUAAAUGUUUUAAUCUCAUGCGUUAUUUUUUAAUACCAACCCUAUGCCGCGUUGACUGAAGUUCAUUAUGGAACGCGUGCUUAUCACCAUCUGAUCUGCCACCUCAAUUAAUGAGGGAGAUCAGAUGACUCUUUUUUUUUUGAAUUUCUGAUUAUUUCAUUUAAUUGCUUAUUUUUAAUUAGUUCAUAUUAAUUUCAUUAUUAAUCCAAAAAAUAUGAGUCUUUCACCAAAAAAAUUCAAAUAUUUUUCUCUUUCAUUUUAUGAAUUAAAAUUAUUUUUUGGAUUACUUUUGAUAUUUUUCAUGAUUUAAUUGUUUUUGUGCAUAUUUUUAAUUGUUUAAAAAUACUUCUGACUUUUCAAAAAUAAUGAAAUUUUUUGUCCAAGGUCAUUUGACCUUAUUUGACCUAUGAUAAAUCUCUUGGCCAUUUAUUUAGUGUUUUGAAGAGGUUUUAGGUUUUUGAUCAAACAUAAUUUAAUUUAAAUGCAUUUUAAUUUGAUUUUUAAUUGAUUAUUUGUGAAUAACCGUGUUGAGCCAUUUUUAUCGACUUGUGAAGUUUGACUAUGUGUUUGGGCCUUAGUCAAUGUUGAUUUGACUUUUGUUGGAUUAAAUCAUUGGAUUUAGGAGAUUGAUGAAAUGUACAUUUCAUAUCUCAAAAUGAAUAAAUGAUUUUAAUUUGAUAAAAGUCUUCCCAUGACCAAUUUGUGUUUGUCUCAUUUCCCCUCCCUCUUCAUCUUCAAUCCCAUUCUGUCCCACCCAUUCUAUUGGCCAAUGACAUCUCAAUAUCCAAAGACUAAUUGGUUCAUCAAUAACUUAUGUUAGAUGAACCAAUCCAAGUAUGGAUGAGAUUAGGUCCAUCAUUUGAUCAUUUUCUUUUUGAGUGUGGUAUAUUUUAGGAGUGUGGUUCAUUAUACCAUAUCUCUAACACGCAUUAGCACCUAAAUUUCUAUUGCCCGACCUCAAAUAGUUGUGACUUCUACAUAAGUCCAAUUACGAUUUCUUAACAUAGCGCUAAAUUUUGACCCAAAAGGCAUAACAUUCUAGUAAGUGGGAUUACAAGUCUCCCCUCUUUCACGAUAUUGUGUGGAAACUUGGCCUUUUCCCUUCCUUUGGAAGAUGUCUUGGUUCAAGGAUCCAUGUUUGUGAAUAAAGGAUUGAGUGUUCUCCAAAGAGGGUUGAGUGUUCUCUAAAGAAUGUCUUAAUCAAUUGAAAAGCAAAACAAUACUAACAUCUAAUCAACUAACAUUUGACUAACUUUUAUUCUUGUUACUUUUAAUUUCAAGUCAUUUACUUUAUGUCAUUUACCAUUUGCCAUUUACAUAUUAUUUAAUUUGUUUAUGUUUAUGCCAUUUUCCAUUUGCUCAUUUGAGCCAUAUAUUAUGAUUGUAUAUAUUUGUCUGUGUAUCCUGUUUGUGUUUGUGGUCUUAGGACCUUAAAAUACUUAAUAAACAACAAAAACCCUAAAAAAUGUUUGUGUGGACUGUUGGAUUUGAUAUGAGCUUUGGACUUAGGAUUAGACAACAUUCCUUAUGCAAAAGGACUUGGCCAAUGCCAACAUUUAUGAUACCAAGUUAUUGUGAUUUGAUCUGAUGCAAGUAUUGGGAUCCACUUGAGUUCAUCUGCCACAUGGUAUCGAUGCAAAUGUUACUUUGAACCUGUGUCUAAUGCCUUAUUCUGAGGCAUUCAGAGAGUAUGUCAUCUGAUACAUGGGAAGAUUAAGAAGAAGACUUUGAAGUGGCUAGCUUGGAUGUGGCUAUCUUUAUUUGAUGUCUUGCUCUUCAUUUUGCUACUUGCUUAUUGAUAUUACUUGAUUCCAAAGUCCAAAGGAAAAAUAGGUUUCUAUAUGACAUUCUUGUCUAUUGGAUUGCAUCCCAUUGGUCAUAUCUUUUCAACUUUUAACUUUUAAAUUUUUGUUUUGGAUUAGUCUCUUCAUAUCCUCCCAUUUCUUAAAUUUAAAAUCUCCCCCCUUUUCAAAAUCUUCUUUGCUUGUGAUUUCUAAACUUAGACUUUAUUGCAAAUUAGAAACUUUGGCCUUAUGCCAUUGCAUUUUUAAACUCUUUUCUUAAAUCAAACUUGUAAAUGAAUCUAACCAUAUUGACCUAAAAUUUCAAAAGACAAAAAUAACUAACACUCAUUCAAACUCUUUUAGGCCUUUUGUGCCUCUUUUAAAUUUAAAUUUUGAUUAAUAGCAAUCCACUCACUUUGAAAUUGAUACCAUGAACUACGAGGUUUUGAUCCCUCAUUUUUAUGUUGGUACGUAGACACAAGUCUGAAGAUAUUGUCAAACGCAAAAAUAUAAUUAAUUAAUUCUUUUCUCAUCCCCACACUCUAUUUUUCUCAAAUAUCAUUUUAUACCAAAAACACAUAGACACAUAAAAAAGGGCUCCCUAGGAGUACCUAGGAUACUUUGGGUGCUAACACCUUUCCUCUGUGUAACCAACUCCCUUACCUGUAAUCUCUGGCAUUUUAUUAGUUUUGAUUUGAAAACUUCUUAUCUUUGGAUUUUGUUCUUACUUUUCCAUCUUCCUUUGGAAACAAUAAAAGCGCGGCGGCGACUCUGGUUUUAUUGACGUUAAGUUUAUCCAUAACUUAAUAAUCAUGAAUUUACCGCUACACUUAGCACAUGAAAAACUUAAACUUGGGUGCAGACGAACCAUUACCUUUUACAAUAUGUAUUUGAAGACGGGGGGAGCUUUAAAAGUGGAAGAUAUGUUUCACACAAAAGAAAACUGUGUGAGAGCUAUAAAAAGGUUUCACAUGGAAAUCUCAACCGAUUUUACCAUUGAUUACACUAAUACGAUUGGGUACAUCAUUCUGCGUUAUAACGUGCUAUGCAAGUUCCAGAUGAUAUCAUCUUAUAGGAAAAUGAGUGAUUCCUGGGAGAUAAGUUAUAUGGAUCCACCUCACACUUGCAUUAUCAUCAAUCCGAUAUAGGAUCAUCACAAACUAAGAUCUAAGAUAAUAUGUGAUGAAAUAUUACUUAUCAUUAACAAGGAUCUCCCAUUGAAGGUGAGUAUAAUAAUCUCUCAUAUUAUUACAUGAUAUAAUUAUACUCCAUCAUACAUGAAAACAUGAGUAACUAGGACUAAGGUGAUUUAACGAGGAUACGAAGAUUGGGAGGAUUUGUACAAAGAACAUCCACAAUAUUUAGUGGCACUUAAGCACUGUGCUCCAAAAACUGUUGCAAUUUUGGAGACCCUGCCAACAUAUACCCAGAUAGAACCAGUGUUAGUGGAAAUAGAAUCUUCCAUCGACUCUUCUAGGCGUAUGAACCAUGCAUCAAAGGUUUUGCAUUCUGCAAACAUAUUAUUCAAAUUGAUGGGACAUAGUUGUACGGUAAAUGUUAAUACCUUAGGAUUGGCAUUAAUUUUGUAAAACAAAUAAUGUAAUCAUCUCUGUUGUUUUAAUAUGUUGGGUUGAAGAAGUUCAACAUCUGGACCAACAUGUCAUGUACGAUGUCACAAACAUCAUUUGUCUGUUGACAUCGCACAUGUGUAGAAAACUGAAUUAAUUAAUUCAGUAUAUAUUCUGGAUUAGUAAGGAUAUUUGGUGAAUAUCCUAACUCCAUGUGGAGGUCUUAAAGACUUAAUCAGAAUAUAUAUAGGCUCUAAUUAUGGAAAUAUAUAUGGAGAGAUUUUAGGAUUGAAGACCUUGUUUGUAGCAGAAUUUUUCUGCUGAAGUUGUAACAGUAAAGAACAAGUCUGCUGCGAUUUCUAAAGGCCCAAAUCCAGUUGGUGAUUAGGUUAUAAUAGCAUAUUGUAACCUAGUUUUUAUAAGCCUCCUAGAAUGAAAAUUUAGGGCGUGUGUGAGGUAAAACCUCCCAACCUGUGGGAAGGUUACCAUGUGUUUCUCAGUGGUAAAAGCUGAGAGUAUUUGUAACUCAAAGCCUGUAGGCAAGAGUGAUUUUGUUCUUGAAUGAAGCUGUGAAGCAAGUUCAAGGCGUGUUAACAUUACAUUGUAUUUGUAGUGAUAGGAAUGGAAACUGGAGAUUUCUAUCUAGGAGUUCCUAGGUAUAGAUUGCAUUGGGUAGGGAUUAAGUGAAAAGUUAUAAACGGGGGAGUUUAACUCUGAAUUAAUACUGCUAAUAGUGGAUCUUCUUCCUGGCUUGGUAGCCCCCAGAUGUAGGUCAUGUUGGACUGAACUGGGUUGGCAAUUUCCUGUGUUUGUUUUCCUUCUGCAUGUGUUUUCUUGUUACUGUCAUAACUCAGCUGGUAUUCCAGUCAGCUUAUCAAGAUGAUAACAGACUUGGUAUAUAGCCUUUUGUUUGAAUGUCAAUUAGAAUGUUGUAACAUUCAUCAGUGAUAGCAUAUACUGAACAAUAAGCAGGUUAGGUUCAGUUCAAUAUUUAUUUAAGUCUGUUCUCUUCAAGGAUAACAGACCUGACCGAAGGAUCAUUGUGAAACUGUUAAACUGGAUGUUUUGACAGUUGAUACUGAAGGCUGAUACUGAAGUAGAGACUAGUUGGUCUUUUACAGUACUGCAAACUUAGCACAGCUUGUUUCCAGGAACAUAACAGAAUCAACAUAUGUUCUGACUGUCGAAUUGAAUGUUGUGACAUUCAUUCCCAACAGCAUGUGCUAAAGUGUAGGAUGAUUGGUUUUUCUGUUUCGGUAUUUUUCUCAGGCUAUUCUUCAAGGAUUCAAUAGCUGAACUAAAAUCCAGGAAACCAACUACUAACCUACAAUUAAUGAACCUAGCAAAUAGCCUAGCUGUUAGCAGUCUAAUAAGUGGAAAUUAGAUUGACGUGUUCAACCUUUAAUUCAGGAAAUACAAGUGAAAGACAAACACACUGGAACAAUGUAACAGAUGAUGUCCAAAAUCAACAGUAAGACAUCAUGCUGAUAACUGUGUAAGAAAACAACAGAAGUGAGUGCUAGGAUUGAUCUCUGUUGAGUCUGUCUUCCUGAUGCACAGAACCAGGUGUUCAUCCAUUCUAGGGUGACAUAGAAUGAGAUGUCGUGACAUCUGUGAACGUGUGCAUAUUAGUACAGUGGUUAAUAACUGUCUUGCUGUAUUAGUUACAAUGUUGACAUCUGUGAACGUGUGCAUAUUAGUACAGUGGUUAAUAACUGUCUUGCUGUAUUAGUUACAAUGUUAGAUCAGAUGUCAUGACUUGGAGUAGAACAUCUGAAUUCUGACUACACCAGAAUUUCAGUAAAUAUAAAGGAACGCUAUUCAUGGCAGUGACACAAGAUGGGAACAAUAAUAUUUUUCCAAUUGUUUUCGCUCUAGUUGAAGGGGAGACUACUGGUAGAUGGAGUUUCUUUCCCAGGAAUCUCCGAUUACAUGUUGCUCUGCAACCUAACCUAUGUUUGAUUUCAGACAUAUAUCCAUCUAUUGAGAGUGUAUACAAUAACACUGAUAAUUGUUGGCAAGAUCCUUCUUCUACACAUGUCUACUUCAUUAAACUUAUCGCUCAAAACUUCAUGUGGGAGAUAAAAGAUGAAACGCUUUGGAAAAAAGUUAUGAAUGCAGGGUAUACAUUAACAAAACCAUCAUUAUAACGCUACCACAAAUAGAUAAAAUUGACAAAUCCAUAUGCGUUAAGGUGGACCAAUAAUAUUCCAGUGGAUAAGUGAACCAGGGCAUUUGAAAAUGGUCAGCGAUGGGGCCACAUGACAAUAACUCUUGUGGAAUCAAUGAACUCUGUCUUCAAAGGCAUUAGAAACCUACUGAUAAUCACUUUCGUGAGAGCAACCUAUUUUAGGUUAGGGUCACUGCUCGAGACCAGAUGGUCAAAAUGGAGUUCAAUAUUACAAUCGGGGCAGUUGUGUAGUGAAAGUUGUAUGGAAUUUAUUAAAAGGAAGUUGUCAAAGCUAACACACAUGUGGUCACAAAUGUUUGACUGCCGUAGAGACUGGUUAAGUGUAUAAGAGAUAACAAACUAUAAUAAGGGGAGACUAAAGAGAUACUAUCGGGUUGGACUAGAUAAAAGUUGGUGCGAUUACGAAAAGUUUCAAGCCUUCCAUAUUGCCUUGCACCCAUAUCAUAACAACAUGUUCACAUGCUCGACAUAACCCUUCCAACAUACUAUCCUCCGUUUACAAAGUUAUAAAUAUAUGCAAUGUGUACAAUAAUAGCUUUCUCGUGAUAACAAAGAAGAAUUAUUGCCCUACAUAUCAAGGGGACGUAGUUUGGCACAAUAAAAACUUGCGAAGAAAGAAAAAAGGUCACCUUAAUAGCAUGUGUAUUCGAACCGAAAUGGAUACGACAAAUAAAAUAGUGAGAUUAUGUAGUUCAUGCCGUCAACCCGAACACAAUCCUACAAACUGUCCCAAUGUUUGAGCAAGCUCCAUAACAUAAUUAUUGAAUUCACUUUUAGUCUUGCUUUUGAUAUGUAAUUCAUUUUAUGUAACCAUUUAAUUUCAUAUUGAAAACAACAUUUAUUUCAUAAAGAUUACAACAUUCGAUUACAACAAUUAUAAUAACAACACGAAAACAAAUAAAACGACUAAAUAACAUAUAUAAGGGGUGUUCAAAACCGAAGUCACCCAAUAGAAAACCACAAACCAAACCAAACUGAAACCGCAAAAAACCACAUUUGAUUUGGAUGUGUUUGAGUCAUUUUUUACAAAACCGCACAGUUCGGUUUGGUUUGCGGUUUGUAUUUUAGAAACCGAACUAAACUAAACCAAACCGCAUUAUAUUAUAACCCAAACUUCACUUAUCCCACAUCCAACCCAAACCAAAAUUUGUUAUGCCUUAACCCUACAAUUACGAACGAUUUUCUCUUACUCACACUUAGGAUUUUAGUUUCAACCUUCUAAAAUAUCCCAUAGUACUCAUUCUUCUCAUCUUCUUUGUCAUGUAAGUCUCACCUCUUAUACUUUAAUCUCUCUUAUUUUAUGUUCUUUAUUUUUCAUUUUCUCAUUUUUAUGUUAUUGUUUUCUCUUCCAAUUAAGUUUUAAUCGCACUUUUCUUCUUUAAUCUUGCAUCUCUUUUGUUCUUUCUUUUUCAUCUUCUCUAAUCUCUCCUCAUAUCUAUUUUUAUGUUUUAUUAUAAUAUCUUUGAUAUUGUUGUAUGCUACUAUUUUAUAUUUUUAUUAUACUUUUCUCUAAUCUGGUUUUUGUAUAUAGAAUGAAAAGUUUUUCUCUAAAUAUGAUGAGUUUUUAUAUUAUUUGAUAAUAUAUAAAUGACUAAACACAAAGUUACAUUAUUCUCUAUAUGUGUAUGUAUUGCUCAAUAAAAAUCUUGUAUAAAACUGAACCAACCCAACCAAAUUGGUUUGAUUUAGUUUGGUUCGAUUUUAUUUCUAAAAGUCAACUGAACAAACCGAACCACAUGCUUUUUUCUCUUGCGGUUCAAAUGAUUUUUAUCUUAAAAACCGCCCAAAUCGCACCGCGCACACUCCUAAACAUGUCUAUGCGAUUAUAACCAUCAUGCCAAUAUCAUAUGAACUAUGCAUCAUAAUACGACAAUCACUGGUAGUUUUAACUGACUCUCAAACACAAUAUUUUCCAUUAUUGUUAAACACCGUAACAAGCCUUUCAAUUCUUUUGAUCUUUUCACCGUCUCCAAUGUCUCAAUCUAACCAACGGAUCAAACUUCUCUGAUGAUGUUCAAAAGUCUCUAUGUUCCAAAGUCGAAUCUUCACCGGAGGCUUUACUGUCGAAUAAAUCAAAUUACCAUUUCUUUUGAUGAUAUAAGAUAUAUUUUGAAGAAAAAUAUAAGGAUAUAUUUUAAAAAUGAAUGAGAAAUAGUGGGGAAGAAAUGACAUAUUUAUAUAUAAAAAAUAAAACAACAUAGGAGCCACAUACAAUGACACUUACUCCUAAAAUUUGCAUGCAUGCGCCAAUGUCAUUAACUUUACAGACAAACAUACGCCACAAAUAUUGACGCCUAAGGAAAAAAUAGAGUGCAUGCGCCACAGACAAUGACGUUUCCUCUCGGAACAAAUUUUUAUUUUUUAUUUGAAAAAUAAUUAAUUUGAUAAAUUAUUUGAAAAUAUGGUUAUUAAAUUUUUUUUUUUGAAAAAUAUGAUUAUAUUUAAAAAUAUUCUAAAUAAUCUCAUUCAAGAAUUGUCCAGUUAAAUUAUUUUUUUUUUAAAAUUUUACACAUUUAUAGCAUCCUAUUUCUGGCAUUUAAAACUUAUCUAACAAAUUAAGAAAAUGGUUAAGAAACCACUUCAAAUAAAUAUACUCUUAAUCGGAUUUGUCUGAUUUUGAAACUAUUAACAUUAAAAUAAUAUAUAUUAAAACCUCUUCAACUAUAAUCUGAUGUAAACAUUGAAAAUAAUAAUAAUUAAGAAUAAGAAAUGAACUUGGUUUGAAGACCAAGCCGGAGUUGACAACUGAGUAUAUCGGUAAGAAAGAAUUAAGAAAUGGGGCCAAAUUGCAGAUAUCAGUAUACAUAGCUUCCACCAACUAUCCAAAACGGCAACACCAACUAUCCAAAACGGCACCUCCUUCCUAAUUCUCCUUCACCUUCUCCAUCUCUGAUUCUCUCUCUACACUUUCUCUCUCUACACUUUCUCUCUCAUUUCCAUCCAAUCCUCGAUCCGAGCCUCACGAUUGAACCGCCGUGCCGGAAACUUCUUGAAGGUAUGCGAAACUUUAACUUCUCUCUAUUACUCCUCCGCUUUACGUGUUGGAAGCAACACUGGAGUUUUCAUUACGAUCCGUGCAUUUUGUUGUUCGGAGUCUCCAAGCUCCGAUUCGAAUCGUGUGAGAAUGCACGCUAUUAUCUCUUGAGAUCUACUGUUUCUGGAUCCCCUUCUUGCAUUUCGUGACGAUCUAAGUCGUUUUGAUUUCAUCGGUUUGUCGUUCGAGUAAGAUCUGGUGACUUCUUUUUUUGUGUGUGACGGUUUUAGCUAAACCACGACUUUUUUUUUCAUUGUUUGAUCUGAAUUGUUGACAGUUUUUUAUUUUUUUUGCGUGUGUUCUCGUGGAUUUGGUUAGGAUAUAGUUGAAUUAAACAUGAAUGCUUAGAUGUUUAGAUUCUGUCUAGCUUAAUAAUGGAGUAAGUUAAUUUAUUCUCAGUGUCACUACUUUUGAGAUUUAAGUUGUGAAACUUUACUUCUUUUGAAUUUGUUCUUAAAUAUAUGGCAUUGAACUUGUCAUUGGAGCUGGCCGAGUAUGUUAAUGGAUUUUCUUGUACUGUACUGUACUGUAGACUUUGGUAUCCAUUAAGAUUUCUUCCAUCUGUGUAAUGAUUUAUGGUUUGUUCAGUCAUACUGAAGCCUGUCCUUGUUGCUUUUGAGUUACUGCACGCACUGGAUCCAAUUUUCCCCUUUGGUGCCAGAAUACUUGAUGAGUUGUCAUUGUCAAACGUUUUUGGUUUGCUCUUGGUGUUGCUUAACUCACUUUUGGUGGGUCUUAUCAUGCCACAUCAACUUUAAGCAACUUAGCAUGUUAAAACUCCAAGGGUUUAUUUAUUAAGUACUUAAAAUGGGUCCGACACGUCCUUACAUAAAAUUCAUUUUUAUUCUUAAGCAACAAAUGGUUCUUUCUUGUGGCCGCCACAUAUCUAUGCUCUUAUGGUUUAUUAAACAACACAAUAAGGCGCUCCCGUUAAAGAUGCUAUUAGUUAACCAAGACCGCCGGGCAUUGAAGUAAUACCUUUAUAGGUUGAUUUUAUUUUAUUUCAUGUAUACACACACAGCGGUUUACAUAUUGAUACUCUUUUUCUAUCUUUUUGAUUGGUGUCUUCCCAUACAAACCAUGAUGUUCUUGUUUGAAAAAUCAACACAAUGUCUUUUGUUUCAAAAAGGCUUGCCGCGAAAUUCACUGUUCAUUACUAUUAUCUAUAAUAUGUUCUUACCUUGACUGCAUCUGAUCCCAUCUUUCCCCAGCAUAGCACACGUGCUUUAAUUGUACCGAUCAUUAUGGUAUCCAAAUAUUGAAUAUUUUGGUCUUUUGAUCUCUCUCUGAAUUUACUUUAUUACUUGCAGGUGGAUCGGGCUUUCAUAAUUCAAACGAAUAUUUGUUAGUUUCUUCAUAAAUAGCAUAAUGGAAGAGGAGGAAGAGCGAAAAGAGAUGAAAAUAUUGGGUAAUGAAUUAGAUUCUCAUGUAGUAGAUAGUGAUAUAAAACAAUUUGUCGAGAGUCCUCUUCAGGAAAAUGUAAAUGGUAGCAGUAGUUUUGAGGUUGAACAUGUAGAUAAGAGGGUGCACUUGCAAGAUCAAGAUGUUGAUUGUGCAACUACAGUUAUGGUCGAGGACCAGUUUGAGCAAGUAUCUUUAAACGAUCAAGACAAGAAUAAUGAGUCUGAGGAUUCAAACCAAUCACCAGGUUCUGAUAAAAUACAUCACCCAUAUGAUGGAUAUGUAGAGGAUUCUCGAUACUCAUCUGGGUCACGUUCGUUAGAAUAUGAUUCUUCCAUAGUUACUGACCUGCAUCUUGAUAAUCUUUCUCAUAGCCCUGCCUCAGAGGGGAAUUUCGGUCAUACAAACAAUCAGCUUACCCCAUCAAUUAGUUUUGAUUCCAUUGGAUAUUCUUCUACUGUUACAUCUCCACCAAAUGCCAGGCAAAAACAUGCAAAGCCAAAUGUGUCUCCAGAAUUACUGCAUCUAGUUGAUUCUGCUAUUAUGGGGAAACCUGAAGGUAUGGACAAGCUAAAGAAUAUUGCUAGCGGUGUAGAAUUUUUUGAGAGUGGUGAAGAAAUGGACAGCGUACCUUUCUUAAUUGUAGAUUCACUUCUUGCAACAAUGGGAGGUGUUGAAAGCUUUGAGGAGGAUGAGGAUAAUAACCCUCCUAGUGUAAUGCUGAACUCCCGGGCUGCCAUUGUGUCGGGCGAGCUUAUUCCUUGGCUUCCUUACAUAGGUGAUACUGAGGAUGUCAUGUCACCAAGGACAAGGAUGGUUAGGGGACUACUUGCCAUAAUAAGAGCUUGCACUAGAAAUAGAGCAAUGUGCUCAUCGGCUGGUCUCUUAGGAGUAUUGUUGAGGACAGCUGAAAAGAUUUUUACAGUGGAUGUUGGCUUAAGUGGACAAAUGAGGUGGGAUGGAACUCCUCUGUGCCAAUGUAUACAGUACUUAGCGGGCCAUACUCUUAGUGUUAGUGAUCUCUACAGAUGGUUUCAAGUCAUUACUAAAACACUCACUACAAUUUGGGCUCCACGAUUAACACUAGCAUUGGAGAAAGCAAUAAGUGGAAAGGAGUCAAAAGGACCAGCUUGCACCUUUGAGUUUGAUGGUGAAAGUUCUGGUUUGCUUGGUCCAGGUGAGAGCCGUUGGCCGUUCGUCAAUGGAUAUGCUUUUGCUACAUGGAUCUACAUUGAAUCAUUUGCGGACACACUGAAUACAGCCACAGUUGCUGCUGCGAUUGCUGCAGCUGCAUCGGCUAAGUCAGGUAAAUCAUCAGCCAUGUCAGCUGCUGCUGCCGCUAGUGCGCUUGCUGGUGAAGGUACAGUGCACAUGCCCCGGCUAUUCAGUUUUUUAUCCAAUGAUAAUCAGGGUUUAGAGGCUUAUUUUCAUGCUCAAUUUUUGGUUGUUGAAACUGCUAGUGGAAAGGGAAAAAAGUCAUCCUUGCAUUUUACCUAUCCCUUCAAACCACAAUGCUGGUACUUCAUUGGUCUUGAGCAUAUAGGCAAGCAUGGAAUUCUCGGAAAUGCAGAAAGUGAAGUCAGGUUAUAUGUAGAUGGGACUUUAUAUGAAAGUCGUCCUUUUGAGUUCCCUCGAAUAUCCAAACCCCUGGCAUUUUGCUGCAUAGGAACUAACCCUCCUCCUACUAUGGCUGGUUUGCAACGUCGUCGUCGUCAAUGUCCUUUGUUUGCUGAGAUGGGCCCAGUUUACAUCUUCAAGGAACCAAUUGGCUCGGAAAGAAUGGCAGGGCUGGCUUCUAGAGGGGGGGAUAUAUUGCCUUCUUUUGGUAAUGCAGCUGGGCUACCAUGGCUAGCAACAAAUGUCUAUGUACAAAACAAGGCAGAGGAGAGUGUGCUUCUAGAUGCAGAAAUUGGAGGUUGCAUCCAUCUGCUCUAUCACCCUAGUUUGCUGAAUGGUCGUUUCUGUCCAGAUGCUUCACCUUCUGGUGCUUCAGGUUGGAAAAUUUGAUAGAUUUAUUUUUUCUUUUCUGUAUUAUAUAAUAUGUGGAUAUACACUGCAUAAAUGCAUACAAAUUUUUGUGCAGAAAGAUACCUAAUAAAUAAUCUUGGAAAAGUUAGCUAUUAUGGGCUGUUUGUUUCAGCUUUUUAAAAAAGAUUUGAAUAGUGUUACAUAUUUUUGUUUAAAAAUAUUUACAAAUAAUUUUUCAAUAAAAACUUCAAAUGAAUAAUUGAUUUUAAUAGUUUUCAUACAAUGUUAUUUGGAGUAUUUCAUCAUUUUACUAUAACUUUUUUUGAUAUCAAAGUUUCAAAAAAUCACUUAAAUUUGAAGUUGUUUUGAAUAGUUUUUCACAAAAAAUCAUUUUUGAGAUAUAUUUGUUUUGAAAAGUUACGUGAUUUUGAUUAUGUUUUAAUCUUUACAUAAUAUAUAUUAUGUUAUUGAUGUCAAAAUUAAUUUUUUAAUUUAUAAAAAAAUGAGUUUAAAAAUACUUUUAGCAUUUUAAAAAAAGUUUUCAUAAAAGUCAUUUAUGAAAAGAGAUUAAUUGUUAUGCACUGUCAGUGUAAGAAAUUUUACACUGUCAAUACAUCGCAAUCAUCCGUUUGGGUUACUUUACAUGUGAUUAUAGAAAAAGUCAAACUUCUCUAAAAAAUCAAUGGCCGUGAUUAACUGACAGUGUAAAAUAUCUUUACACUGUUAGUGCAUUUCAAUUAAACUCUUUUGAAAAUACAAAGUAAAAAAAUCUAUUUUAAUUUUUUUUACUAUAUUUUGAGUUGGAAUUCAUAAGCACCACAAUGGGCGAUAUUUCUCUAGCAGUGUGAUUUUUUUUGUUACAUAUUUAUUAAUAGUAUGGUUUCUAGUGUGCUCAUUGUCUUGUUUGAUUCUUCAUCGUCUAUCUGGAAGUUGUUUCCAUUUAUUUUGCAUCAACAGAACUGUAAAUUUAGAGGGAUCACAAACUGUUAAACAUGCAUUAGGCUCAUUUAUCUAUGCAUAAAAAGUUGCUAACUUGUUUAUAUAAAGGAUUAUAAUAAAUAUUAAUUAAACUAAAGGGUAAGUAAAAAGUAUAUAGUUCAUUAAUUGGCCUGUCUCUGACUAAGCUGUCUUGAGAAGAUAUCAUAUGUGGUUGUUAUUUAAUUAUAUUCUGCUUCUCUCAUUCUUUCCCGGCUUUUAGUCUUACAGAUACACACAUUGUUUGCUAAGGCCCGUGACUUUUAUGUAUGUUCCCCUCCUUUAUUGUUUCUUCACUUCUCCGUAUCUUAUUAAUAGACCAUUUCCUGUGAACAAUGUUGGCCAUUUCCAGUGUUUAAUAUGGCACAACCAAACUUUUGCGGGAUUAAAAAUUACAUUUAUUUACUGUUUGUCAGCAAUAAAGAAAUUACUUUAUCACCAAGGCAUGAAUACUUUGCUGCAUCAAUCUUAGCUUUUCUUAUGAUCCCUUCAUUAUGACCCAGGAAUGCUUCGACGUCCAGCUGAGGUUCUUGGGCAAGUCCAUGUUGCUACACGAAUGCGACCUGGGGAUACUUUAUGGGCAUUGGCUUAUGGCGGUCCCUUGUCUUUGCUUCCCGUGACUAUAAGCAAUAUAGACGAGGAUACUCUGGAACCACUGCAAGGGACUUUUCCUCUUUCUUCAGCCACCACAUCUCUUGCUGCCCCAGUAUUUAGAAUUAUAUCCAUGGCUAUUCAACACCCAAGGAACAAUGAAGAGUUGUCUCGCGGCAGAGGGCCUGAGGUUCUGUCAAAAAUUUUGAAUUAUCUUCUCCAAACUCUAUCUUCACUUCAUGUUGGAAGGCAUGAUGGUGUAAGAGACGAGGAACUUGUUGCUGCUGUUGUUUCUGUUUGUCAAUCUCAGAAGAUUAACCAUACACUUAAAGUGCAGCUCUUCGCCACACUGGUAUUGGAUUUAAAAAUUUGGAGUUUGUGUAGUUAUGGCAUACAAAAGAAGCUUCUAUCAUCACUUGCAGACAUGGUUUUCACAGAGUCAACCGUAAUGCGUGAUGCCAAUGCCAUUCAAAUGCUUCUUGAUGGCUGCAGAAGGUGUUAUUGGAUUGUUCAUGAAAUUGAUUCAGUGAAUUCUUUUUCUCUAACUGGGGCAACACGUCCUGUGGGUGAAAUUAAUGCGCUGGUUGACGAGCUCUUAGUGGUAGUUGAACUUUUAAUAGUGGCAGCUCCUUCUUCUUUGGUCUCAGCCGAUGUCCGAUGUUUACUUGGAUUCAUGGUUGACUGCCCACAACCCAAUCAGGUAAAGUAGCGGCAUUAAUAUUUUUUUGUUGCUUUUUUUUCCUUCUUUUUCUGAAGUGGCAAUGAGAAGGCAUUGUUAGUUAGUCAUGAUGCUUAAAUGACACAACAAAAACAACCACCAUAGCCUUUUCUCAUUAUUAGGUAGAGUUGGCUACCUAGAUCAAUUUUGGGUUUAACUUAUCCUUACAAAACUGAUUUGUUAGGUGAGUGGUGUCUUUCUUUAUAAACAUUUUCAAGGCCUUAUCUCAUCCAAUGCGGGCUCUUACACCCCCUCACCCCCUUACACCCAUGAUUAAGCUUUUGGAGUGUGGCCCGAUAGGGGUGACCUGAUAGUAGGUGGCCCAACGGAUCAUGGAUAUACUCUGAUGUCAUAUUAAAAAUUUGAGUUGAGCCUAACAUGGUUUCAUAUUAAAAUUUUUAGUUGAGCCUAACACAUCCUUAAAAGGCAGUUUUGUAAGGUUGAGUUACGCCCUACUCAAAAUUCUUAAUAUUAUCUAAACAAAACUUUUAUAGUACUCAUUAUUCAUUUGUUAUUUGCUUCAUUUUUCAGGUUGCUAGGGUGUUGCAUCUCUUUUACAGGUUGGUUGUCCAGCCUAAUGCAUCCAGGGCUAACACAUUUGCAGAAGAAUUUCUAGCCGGUGGUGGGAUAGAAACUCUUCUCGUUCUCCUCCAGAAGGAAGCUAAAGCUGGUGAUUAUGAUGUAAUGAAAUCUUUCUCAAAGAAUCCUGAAUUUGAAAAAGCAGAAUUUGAUCACAGUAAUGGAAACACUGAAAGAAGUCGGGAUGAUGAAGGUUCAGAGGAUAAAAGUGAAGCCAGCAUACUAGACAAUGAUAAACACUCUCAAUCUGUUGAUAGUUGCAAUAGUCCGGUUCCUAGUUCGCCAGAUAUUAACAGCGAUAGGAUGGCAUUUACCUCUGAAAUUCCUUCUAUCAAGAAUCUUGGAGGCAUAAGUCUAUCCAUCAGUGCUGACAAUGCUAGGAAAAAUGUCUACAAUAUUGAUAAAAGUGAUGGCAUUGUUGUUGGGAUCAUAGGUCUCUUAGGUGCUUUAGUAGCUUCAGGACAACUGGGAUUUGUUUCACAUGCUGGUCCUGAUACAACAAACAACCUUUAUGGUGUUGGAUUCCAUGACAGGGGUGGAACUAUGUUUGAAGACAAAGUUUCUAUUCUACAUUAUGCUUUACAGAAGGCUUUUCAAGCAGCACCUAACAGGCUAAUGACUAACAAUGUUUACACAGCUUUGCUGUCUGCCUCGGUAUGACUUACUUUCUGUAGCAUAUCCCCACUGCAUAUGGCAAUGGAAACACAUAUUAGUGGCAAUUACUCCUACAUUGUUGCCCAAAUGGAAAUUGUUGUUUUUUAUUCCUUUGAAAAUUGUAUUUUCAACGUAGUUGCCAUGUUUUAUUCAUGGUAUGCCUUGUUUUUUGUUUUUGGUCAUUAUUAGCUUACACGUUCAUAAUAUUUUCAUCAUAACAGCAUAGAUGCAUCAAUAUUCAAAAUAUGAAUAUGUUUACAUUUAUAAAUUCUACUGGCAAAUUUUUUAGUUCUCAGUGACUGGAUUAGGCAAGAUUAUUGUUCAUAAACUUUAUAUUGAUCUGCCAACAUGCUAGCUAUGAUAACUGAAUUCUGCAUUUAGCUUUCCUGUCUUGUCUUGUGCGUUGUCAAAUAGAGCGGCUAUAGCAUAGCAAAAUUUUAACAUACCAUUAUUGUUCUGUGAUACAUGGUUUUGUACAAAACGGUGUCAAAUAGUGACUAUCACUGUAACAUAGCAAAAUUUGAAACUACUGCUAUUUUCCACAACCCACGAUUGACAAGUCUUGCGUCCUUUCACGUGUUAUGUAUGUGAAAAGAUUCGUAGACAUUCUCUGUUCACGAUUAUAUAUGAAGUUUGAUCAAUUUGCAACUCUGCUUUGUAAUUUCUCUUAACUCAGAGCAUCUUAGUAUUUAUCAGUCUGUGGGCACCUUUAUUCUUACAACUCCAUAUAUAAUAUUCGUCUAUGGGAUACUAUGUUAUCAAGUCAUUCUUAAGACUUCAUUCAUAUUCCUUUUAUGGGAUACUGUGUUAUGUGUUAUCAAAUACUGUUGUUCUAGAUUAUAAUUAAAACAACUGAAUACUACUUUGGAUCUGCAAGUAUCUAAAUUUGCAUGACUUUUGCAUUCCAAAAAUGGGUAUCCAAGAUAUAGGGAUACUAAAUAUACAUCUGCAAAGAAGUUGGCCCGCCAUAUGUAUCUCUUUGGACUUAUUUGAAUAUUUUUUCAUAAUCUUGUUUCAAUGAUGCAUGUAUUUGUUCAAAAUGCCACUGUCUUGUUUGCAAUUUAAAGUUCAUUCUGAAAUUCUGUGACAGUGGGCCCUGCAAGUUUUUGAAUUUACUUCUUUAAUGUCCAUCUUUUAUCGGCGAGGAAGUUUUUUUAUCCAUUGACUAGAACUUUUUUGUUUCUAUUAGAAAAAUAAAGUUCAUUAGUUAAACAGAGAAAGAAACUUGCUAAUUUAAAUGAUAAAAAUCCCCCAUUUUAACCAUGACAGACUGCAUAAAAAACAGAAAAACAUGUAAGCCUUCAAGCCUCUUUGAAUGUCUAUUGAGGAAUUCCUUGAAAAAUCUGGUAACUAAAUUGCCAAAAUGGCUUCUAUCCUUGUUAUCUGACUUUUCCAUUUUCAUUUUUUUGGCUUUCCAUUUCAGAUCAAUGCUUCUUCUUCAGAGGAUGGACUGAAUUUCUAUGAUUCUGGUCAUCGCUUUGAGCAUUCAGAACUUUUAUUGGUGCUGUUGCGUUCCCUUCCAUUUGCACCCAGGUCACUGCAGAGCAGAGCAUUGCAGGUGGUUGCUCAUUACUUCUCUAUAUUUACAAUAUGCAUAUAAUGAUUUAUAUAGUGCAUUUUAUUUGAUUAAUGAGUAUUAAAGUGAAACUGAUUUGAGAGGAAAAACAAAAUUCUAUUGAUUGAAAGAUAGAAUUUUACAAUCUAUCCUUAGAGACCACCUUGAGCUUGGAACAUAAAGCCAGAAACUUGUCAGUGGAGAGAGGUUUAGUUAGCACAUCUGCAAUCUGAUCAUAACCAGGAAUGUGAACUAUUAGAGUAAUACAGCUGUCAGUGCUAAGCUAAGUUUGUUAUGCUGAGCUGGCAUUAGUUUUGUUAUGCUGAGCUGUAAACAGUUCAGUUUGUUAUGCUGAGCUGUCACUAAUGCAGCUUUCUAUAUAUACAUCAAUCAAUCUGUAGAUACUCUUUUGAUGAGUUUUAUCAAUACAAACACACUUAACUCAUCUUCUAUGCUUUAUUUUUCUCUAAUAUGGUAUCAUGAGCUUGUGAUCCACACCAACAAUGGCUUCAUCAGGAUAUCAUCAAUCUCCUCCAUCAUCAUCAGAUGGAAACUCUUCGCAUCAGGUGGAAUUUGCAUCGCUGAAGAACGCUGAAGUUUCUUCACAGAAAAAUGCUUUCAACCUUUGCGCAACAGAUCAAUCUCAAACUCGAUAACAACAACUUUCUUUCAUGGAAGCAACAAGUUGAAGGUAUUAUUCGAAUUCACAAACUGCACUGUCAUCUUGUGAAUUUGGUGAUUCCUUCACGAUACCUUACAACUGAAGAUCGUGCUUCUGAUUCCGAGAAUCCAGCGUAUCUGCUAUGGCAUCAAGAAGAUUCGCUGCUCUUCACUUGACUUCUCAAUACACUCUCUGAAUCCGUGCUUCCUCGUGUAGUCAAAUGCGUUCAUGUGCACGAAGCCUGGACCGUGAUCGAUCAGUUUCAACGAACUCAGAUCUACGCGAAAUCUAGAUAACUUCGCUAUGAACUUCAAAGUAUGGAGAAAGGUGAUCGCACCAUCGCGCAGUAUCUAGGAUGCAUUCAACGAACCGUUGAUAUUCUGGAAUCGAUUGGUGAUCCGGUGUCGCAUUGUGAUCAACUUGAAACAAUUGUUGAUGGAUUACCACCGGAGUAUCAGGUGCUUGCAUCGAUCAUCCAGUAUCGUGAUCAACCAUGUGAAAUCGUUGUUGCAGAAACAAUGUUGUUAUCACAUGAGGCUCGUCUGAAUCGUACUCCUCGAAAUUCCUCAAUAGAAUCUCACCGUUAAUCUUACUCAAGGUAAUCUUACACCGUUUCACAAUCGACAAUCACCAAUAUUCCUGAUUCUACUUCGCCCCUAUCUAGUCAUGAAUCUCAACCAUAGUUUAAUGCUUUUCGCAAUAAUCGUGGUGGUCGUUCUUUCAACUCUAUAGGUGGCAGUCGUAAUGGUGGUAGGUCUCGCGUAUAAUGUCAAAUUUGAUCCAAAGAUGGACAUGAUGCUAAAGUAUGCUACUACAUGCUCUCAGUGCAACAACCAAACUUCAAUCAAUGGCAUAAUCCAGUCAUUGCUCACCAAUCUCACUCAAACUUUGUGAAUCCUUGGCAGCAAUCCAGUCCUCCACAACAAUUUCCAAACCAAUGACAUGCUCCUUCCUUUGCUCCAUAAUGGCAUGCACAUUCAUCUGGAUUUGCUCACGGAUCAGUAGCUCAAUUCUAUCCCUCAUUUUCAACUAAACAACCUCAAGCUUAUCUAGCAGGUUCAGACACUUGUCUUGGUCCUUCUGCUACAGCUCAGUGGUAUCCAAACUCAGGGGUAACUCAUCAUGUGACAAACUCCGCAGAUAAUUUUCUAGACAACAUCUCCACAACCGGAUAUGACCAAGUGCUACUCGGUAAUGGUUAAGGUCUGUCCAUUAAAUCUAUUGGCCAUACUUCAUUUCAGUCCACACACAAACCACAUGUUAUGAUGUUACACUCAUACUAAAUAAUCUAUUGCUUGUGCCUAAAAUCACCAAGAAUCUCAUUUCAGUGAGCCAGUUUGCUAGAGAUAAUCAAGUUUAUUUUGAGUUUCAUCCUGAUAUGUGUUUUGUCAAAUCAUAGGCUACAUCUGAAGUUGUGUUACAAGGUUCUCUUGGAAAGGAUGAACUCUAUUCAUUUGGUGCUCUACAAGCUAUUACUACUAUUAAUUCUACAUCACCUAAUGUUCACGCACUCACUAGUAACUCUUUACUUUCCAUUGAUUUCAAAUCUAGUACAAAUAAAGAUGCCACCAUACUAGGUCCUACUUUGUAUGCUCAGUGGCACAAUAGGAUGGGGGCAUACUUUCCAUUGAUUUCAAAUCUAGUACAAAUAAAGAUGCCACCAUACUAGGUCCUACUUUGUAUGCUCAGUGGCACAAUAGGAUGGGGCAUCGUUGUCAUGAGGUCCUAUAAAAUGUACUCACCAAAUGUAAUAUUUCUGUUCCUCGUCAAUCUAAGCUUGAUUUUUGCACUGCUAGCUGCUUAGGCAAAGUUCAUAGAUUGCCUUCCACUCAUUCUACUACAGUUUAUAUUGCUCCCUUUGAUUUAGUUUUUACUGAUGUGUGGGGGCCUGCACCUAUGGUGUCCUCUUGUGGUUUCAAUUAUCUACUGACAUGUGUGAGUGCAUUUACAACGUUCACUUGGAUUUUUCUACUCAAACUAAAAUCUGAAGUCACCUCAGCAUUCACUAACUUCAUGGCAUAUGUUAACACUCAAUUUAACUGCAAGAUUAAAACAAUUCAAAUUAAUGGAGAUGGUGAAUUCCAACCUCUCACUCCUUUACUCACUAAGCAAGACACUCUCUACAGACUUACCUGUCCACAUACUCAUCACCAAAAUGGUUAUGUGGAAGAAAGCACAGUCAUGUUGUGGAAACAGGUCUCACCUUGCUGUCACAUGCCUCACUCCCUUUAAAGUUCUGGGAUCAUGCUUUUCAGGCAACUACAUAUCUUAUCAAUAGAAUGCCUACAUAUGUCUUAGGCAUGAGCUCCUUUUAUCCGACUCUUUACCACACUAAGCCAGACUAUAAGUUCCUUAAGGUUUUGGGGUGUGUUUGCUAUCCAUACCUCAGACCCUACAACCCUAAGGAAUGUUUGUUCUUGGGCUAUUCUUCUCAACACAAGGGUUCUAAGUGCUUAGCACAUGAUGGCAAAAUCUACAUCUCAAAGGAUGUGAUUUCAUUUUCAAUGAAAUUAGGUUCCCUUACUCGUCUAUGUUUGCCUCUACCUCCAUGACAUCUCCUACUCACACUCAAACCUACAUCACUGUUCCCUUCACAUUUGCAUCCUUUCAAUCCAAUCCUACUACUCUCAACCAGAAUCAUAACUCUAAUUCUACUCUUUCAUAUUCCUCUAAAAAUGUCUCAGGAUCUGCUUCUUCCCCACAACAAUCUCUACAAUAGCAUAACUCAUUUGCAUCUAUCAGUCCUAUAUUGCCUCAUACUUCUCCCUUUCCUUCCUCAUCUCGCUCUAACUCUCAAUUGCCUGAGCAUGACUCAAGUGUGUCUCCCUCACACUCUUUCUCUCAAACUUCAUUUGAUACUCACUUACAACUUCCUACGCCAAAUAUUCAUCCUCAAAAUAUUCAUCCUAUGGUCACUAGAGCCAAAUAUGGUAUUGUCCAACCUAGGCUUCAUCCUACUUUCCUUCUAAUUGAACUGGAAUCCAUUUUCUAUAAGAUACUCCCUCCGUUUUUUAUUAUAAGUCGUUUUUGACUUUUCACACGUAUUAAGAAAUGUAAUAAUUAUGGUAUAAAAAAGAGAAAUUAGGAAGGAUUUUACAAAAUUGUCCUUCAUUAAUGGUAUUGGAAAGACAAAUUCACAUAAUUGAAAAGAGAGAGAUUAAUAAAUAUUUAAGGGUAUAAGAGGAAAAAUAACAUUAAUAAUUUAUUGAUAUUAUAAAACGACUUAUAUUGUGGUACAAAAUAUUUUUCCAAAGUGACUUGUAAUAAAAAACGGAGGUAGUAGCACUCAAACACCUUCAGUGGCUUGCAUGACCAUGCAAGUUGAAUAUACUGCACUGCUUCAAAACAAUACAUGGACUCUCAGUAACCUUCCUCCUAAUAAAAGGGCUAUUGGAUGUAAAUGGGUCUUUAGGAUCAAACAAAAUCCUGAUGGCUCCAUUUUGAAAUACAAGAUCAAACUUGUGGCAAAAGGGUUUCACCAAGUUCAAGGUUUGGAUUUUCAAGAAACCUUAUCUCCUGUGGUCAAGCUUGUCACUGUCAGGAUUGUCUUGACACUUGCAAUUUUGAGGCAAUGGCAUAUAGCUCAACUUGAUGUAAGCAAUGCCUUCUUAAAUGGUAUUUUGGCUGAAGAAGUUUACAUACAACAACCUUCUGGUUUUGUCACCUAAAAUACCACUCUAGUCUGCAAACUAAACAAAGCAAUCUAUGGUUUGAAAGACUUACCUCGGCCCUUCACAACUUUGGCUUUCUCACCAGCAAGUGUGAUCCCUCAUUAUUCACUCUAAGCAAACCUACUUAUACCAUUUUCAUGUUGAUAUAUGUAGAUGAUAUAUUGCUACAGGUAACUCCCAAGUCAUAUCCAAAAUCUCAUCACUCAGCUACAUGCUCAGUUUUCUCUCAAACAACUUGUCUUUCUCAAUUAUUUCUUAGGCAUUGAGGUCUCAAAGGUUUCCCAUGGAGGCCUAUUCUUUUCUCAAACUAAAUAUAUCAGAGACGUCUUGGCCAAAACAAAUAUGAGUGAGGCCAAGAGUCUUCCCAAUCCUAUGAUAUCUAAUCUUAAACUCACAAGACAAGGUUCAAGACAAGGUUCAGACUAUUUACCUGUUUCUUCCUACUAUAGGUUUGUUGUUAGGGCAUUGCAGUCUGCCACCAUUACUUAUAACAAAGAUCAACUUCCCAGUUAACAAGGCUUGUCAGUUCCUGUCUCAACCUCUGCAAAGUCAUUGGGUUGUUGUAAAGAGAAUUCUGAAAUAUCUCGGAGGCACUCUGUAUCAUUGGCUGCACUUUAUGCCUGCCAAUUCUACCAAACCAAUGCUAAUUACAGUCUUUUCUGAUGCUGACUGGGGUUCUGACCCUGAUGACAGAAAGUCUACAUCAGGAUCUUGCAUUUAUCUUGGGCCCAAUCUGAUUUCUUGAUGGUCCAAAAAACAAACUUUGGUAGCUAGGUCAAGUACUGAGGCAAAGUACAAAAGUUUGGCUAGCAUUGCUUCAGAGGUACUUUGGGUCCAAUCUCUCCUCUCAGAACUCUAAGGCAUCACUUUAUCUCCCACUCUCUAUUGUGAUAAUCUUAGCACUGUAUCUCUGUCUGACAAUCCUGUACUUCAUGCCAUGACCAAACACAUGGAGUUAGAUAUUUUCUUUCUUAGAGAAAAAAUUCUCAACACAUUUUGUUUUAAGCACAUUCCUGUUGAGUUGCAAAAUGCAGAUAUUCUGACCAAACCUCUUUUUGCUCUAAGAUUCCUUGCUCUUAGGGAUCAUCUUAGAGUGGUAGACAAGACUACUCUUCACUAAAGGAUGAGUUUCAACAGUUAGGCAGAAGACUCCUCCACUUGAGGGGAAAAUAUUAGAGUACUACAGUUGUCAGUGCUAAGCUCAGUUUGUUAUGCUGAGCUGUCACUAAUGCAACUCUCUCUCUCUCUCUCUCUCUCUCUCCAAUGUCUUGAUUGUCACAGUGGAUGAUCGAUGAAACAAGAUGUACAUGAAGUUCUUGCAAUAAAGUAAGUUUGGACCCAAAGCACUUAUGAAGUGAUGAGUGCAAGACUUUUGUAGUUAGCCUCUACACUCGAUCUUGCAACAACUGUCUGAUUUUGAGACCACUCAAGACCGCCAAGAUAUGAGAUUGGGACCAAAUUAUAGACUUAACCUUGAAACGGAUCUACAACCAUCUGGGUCUGUAGCUCUAGUCUGCAUCCCAAAAACCAUGAAGAUAUAGAGAUUGACCAAAGGCAACAAGAGACAGUUGAAGGCCUAAAUGCGUGGUGCCUUGUACGUGAAGUUCUUACAAUAAAGUUUGGACCCAAAGCACUUAUGAAGUGAUGAGUGCAAGACUUCUGUACUCAGCCUCUACACUUGAUCUUGCAACACCUGUUUGAUUUGGAGACCAUCGAGACCGCCAAGAUAUGAGAUUGAGACCAAAUUUUAGACCUAACCCUGAAACAGAUCUACAACCAUCUGGGUCUGUAGCCCAGUUUGCAUCCCAAAAUUGAUGAAGAGAGAGAUUGACCAGAGGCAUCAAGAGAGGCAACAAGAGACAGUUAAAGGCCUAGAUGCAUGUUGCCUUGCACAUAACGAAGGAUACGUUUGACUGUCUGCCAGUGGGAGUCUAAUGGAUUUGCCAUAAAUUGGCACACUCUAUUAAUUGAGCAGGUUAAUUCUAGGCGUGUGAUUAUAGCAUAUUGUAAGGCUCCCACAACCGAUCUGUAGAUGGUGGGAUCAUUGAAUUGAGGAGAAUCAAUUUUAGAAAGUUUUGAGUAGGAUGACAUUGGAGUGGAAAUAGGAUUUGCUUCAUGCAUGGCUGUUUUGAGCGGUAAAUCUAUGAUGUAUUUGCUCUGUGUAAGAAGGAGAGCACCUUAGGGCCGUAGCUUGACUUCAAUGCCCAGGAGAGCACCUUAGGCACCACGCAUCUACUCCGUAGCUUGGCACACUAUUGAAUAUCUUGUGAGUUAUUUGUGACAUGGUAAGAAGCUCAAGAAUCUGGGAACCAGGAGCUGUUAGAGGUUGGGUUGGCACCGGUAAGCAUAGCAUUGGGUUGUGGAUAGGUGGGAUGGUAGUGUGAUGGUAUACGAGAUCGUCUAGGUUGAGUGGGAGGUCUAGGUGCUCAAUAGGAAAACCAUUGGAAGCAUAAGAAUUAGUAUAAGCAUUUUGAAAACUUGAAUAUCCCAUAAAAUCAUGAGGAACAUGUGCAUAAAAAGGCUGAUUAAUUCAAUGGUAAUUGUUAUUAGCCAUGUGUCCAAAUUUGAAGCAUACUUGACAUUGAAUAUUACCGUAGCAACCACACCCACAUCCGCCACAAGAUCCAUUACAGCCACUUAUGGCAAAUCUAUAAUUAGAGGGAGUAGACACAAGUGAACAAUCAUAAGAAGGUACAUGAGUAGAUGCAUUGUAUCAAUUAUACCAGAAAAAGAUUCAGGAAGAGGCUUUGACUGUGUGAGAUUGAUUGAAGCAUUUUCAAUAAUGGAUGACUUCUUGAGUUUUUCAUAAAGCAUCUCAUGAGCAUGGAGCAAAGCCUCGACUUCUUCAACCAGAAUGGACUCAAAUUUGCUUUCAAUAACCGAGAUUACUGGUUUUAACUCAUGAGGAAGACCUUCAAGCAUAUCAAUAUGUUGUUGCGAAGGAAUAUGAUCUCUAUUAAGAAUGUGUGGUUUGACCUAACUCAACCCUACAAAACCGGUUGGUAGAGUGAGGGCCACCCCCACUUAUAAAGUCAUGUUCAGGCCAUAUAUUGUCCGAUGUGGGACUCUUAACACCCCCCCUCACGCCUAGGACUGGACAUCUGGAGUGUGGAAAUAAAUGGUGGGUGGCUUGAUAGCGGAAACCAUAGUAGGUGGCCCACCGGAUCUUAAACGAGGCUCUGAUACCAUGUUAAGAAUGUGUGGUUUGGCCUAACUCAACCCUACAAAACCGGAUGGUAAAGUGAGGACCGACCCCACUUAUAAAGUCAUGUUCAGGCCAUAUAUUGUCCGAUGUGGGACUCUUAACAAUCUCAUACCGAGGUUAGAGAAUCCAUAAGUGUCGUAACACGAAGUACUCUUCAACAGGCGAAUCACAAAGAAUUGUGGCACGAAGUUAAGAUUGUAAUUGGUGCGCCUUCGCACACAUGAGUUUUUGAAAGUGAGCAUGGAUUCGCUCCCAUAGUUCAAAGGAGUUGCUGCAUCCAAGAACACGAGACAUGAUCAAACCAGAUAAGGCCGACUGCAACCAGGACAAAAGCCUGUGAGCAUGGGUAUUUCUAAAAUGGUGAAGUACCGAUACCGGGUACACACCCGUACCGGGUACUCGUACGUACUCGUGGUACUUCAUUUUUUUUCUUCUCAUUAUUAGGUUUUGAAUGAAAUUUGUGGUUUUCUCAAAUAUUGAUAUAGUAUAUUUAUGUGUUUUAAUUUUUUUGUUAUUGUAUCUUAACAUUAUUUUUUAUCUUUACAGAGGUGUUUUGUUAUGAACUUAACAAUUUAGUUCUCUACUCAUACAUUUUAUAAAAAAAUCUUAUUUCUUAUUAACGUACCCGUACCUUGAUAUUUUUUAAAUGCCGUAUCCCGUACUGGUACCAGUACCCGCACCGGGUACCGUACCUAUGCAUUAUAGCCUGUCAUCGGAGUAGGUGAGUUUGUCGGUGAAGGAGGAGGAGGAGGAGGAUUAAUUUCAGUUUCAUCCAUCAUGGAUCGAACCAGAGCUCUAUGAUACCAUAUUAAGCUGGAGCUGAUUUGAGAGGAAAAACAAAAUUCUAUUGAUUGAAAGAUAGAAUUUUACAAUCUAUUUUGUCGUGAUGCAGUAGCAUCUAUUUAUUGACUAUGCCAUUGACAGCUAAUUCUGUUAAGGCAGUUAAAGCUAGCUAAGCAUUCUGUUAGGACAGUUACAACCAGCUUACAUCUAUAAUGUCAAUAGUUCCGCGAUCGUGCGCUAUAGCGGUUUUAUGGAGCAGUUUAGAGGUCUUCUAGAUAAAACUUCCGCUACCCGUGGCCAGCAGUAGCUGAAAAAGUGGCCACUAAUUGCGGCAGGGAACGCAUUUCACAGACCCAUCUAUGUUAAGGGUUCACAAUGCCCUAAUUUUUUGAAACAAUUUGCAAUUUCCCUGUUUGCCCUCAAUAUCUUUUUUUCUUUGUUUAAGUAUUUUAAGGGGUUGUUUGGUCAUAUCAUUUUAUUACCACUAUUAUAAUAAUAUUAAACACUACCACUCUUCCACUCUCAUUCUCCCUCUUUGUUUAACUCAUUUCACAUUAUUAUACUAAACGCCACCACUCUUCCCCUUUCCAUUUCUUGCCUAUUUGGACCUAUUGCCAUGUUAUUUUUCUAUUGAAAAGGAAACUAUAAAAGUCUUGUAUAAUCCGUUUUUGAAAGACUUGCUUUAUCCGAAGUUCAUUGUUGCUUCAUGAUGAUGUUCAACAUGUUGAUUCUUUCAUUUCUUUUCUCACUGGCAGAUGCAUUGAGGGACCAGACUAAAAAGGAGACUGUCUUAUUCAACCUUUAUAUCUUUCUUCACAGAUGUCUUCUUUCCCAGAUUUUUUCUCCCCUUUUCAAAUAGAACAACUAAAACAAGGGCUUAUUGUGUCUUUAUGUUCCACAAACCUCUCUUAGGUUUCUUUUUUUGGGUAAUAUGUGAGCAGUUUUGUUCUUUUAAUUGCACUAGGUACCUUUUUAUGUUAUCGUUAAGUCAUCAAAUGUCCAUGUAUACAACACAACAAUAAAAAAGUUUUCCUAUAAAUUUUUGUCUUUGGAAGUAAAACCUCCAACGAUGCAGAGUUCCUACUUAGGAUUUUUUCUAUACCACCUAGCUUUAAGCUGCUUGUUUGUGUAUAUUUUCAGGAUCUUCUAUUUUUGGCUUGCAGUCAUCCUGAAAAUAGAAACAAUUUGAUAAAUAUGGAGGAAUGGCCUGAAUGGAUUUUGGAAAUCCUGAUCUCAAACUAUGAGGUAAUAACAUUAUGUAUGAGUAACAAAUUCUUUUAAUAGGUGAGUCCAAGCUAUGAUCUUGGAAAUCCUGAUCUCGGACUGUGAGGAAAUCCCGAUCUUCUAUUAAAUUAAUGCUAACUUCUUUUAUAACACUUAUUUUGGGUGUGAUUCUUGUGAAGAAUUCUUUGACUGUUAAUUGCAUACUCUUUUUAAACAGGUGGGUCCAAGCAAAUUGUCUGAUUCAACAAGUGCUGUAGAUGUUGAAGACUUGAUUCAUAACUUCCUAAUUAUCAUGCUAGAGCACUCAAUGCGCCAAAAGGAUGGAUGGAAGGUUGAUAUUUAUUUGGAUUUUUUACUUCUUUCAUAUGGAAAUAGUUCAUGUUACUUGCAAAUCUUGUCCAUUUUGCUCUUUCGUGAAUCACGAUGUUGCUGAUGACAACAGGCACAUGCAAUAGUUUGUUUGCCCAUUUUAUGUUCUCUCUAUUAAAUUUUUGUUUUUUGUCAUGAGUUGAACGUCAAAUAUUAAACUGGGCUUGAACUUUCAAUGAAUUUGUAUACAUUUUCUUAUUCACUGGAGUUUUGUUAGGCUUGCAGAUAUGAAAAAGACUGCUUGUUUCCCUCCCCCCUUGUCCCUUCUCUGUAUAGAAAGGAAUUUUUUCCAAAAGAAAAAAAAGUACAACUUUUUGGGUUAAUGGGGUUUGGUUUCACAACAUUUCAAACAAAGAAAUCAAAUGAAUACUGGAAUCAAUGAGGCUUAAGCCUUAAAAUAGUAGCUGAAUUGUCAUGUUGAUAACAUAUUGAUGGGUGUGAUUAAAAGAGUAUCUUUUAGAUGUUUGCCGUACUUGUUGGUUUUGAGCAAUGACUUGUCUACAAAGUAUAUUAUUAACAUUGAGUUUUAAGACAUUUUGUAAUUUUCUAUUUUCUAAUCACAUGAUUAUGGUCCUCAAGAGGAAGUAAAUGAUCCUGGAGUUUGCAUGUGAAGCUGCAACUGACUUCUGAAAUAUUGUAUAACUUCUUGGUCAUCAUUCUGUUGAAAUUUAACUUCCGUUGUCAACGUCCAUAUCUGCCCGCUUGCAUUAUUUCUGGUUUUAUCAGGCUGAUUCAGGCUACUCAAUGUUACUCAUUCUUUCCAGGAUAUCGAAUCAACAAUUCAUUGUGGAGAGUGGCUUUCUAUUGUAGGUGGAUCUAGCACAGGAGAACAGCGAGUAAGGUAGGUUUGUACACUUAAGCUUUAAAGAGUUGCUUGGCACAUUUUAGAGUUUUUACUUACCACUUAAGCUUUUAGUUGACCUCCAUAACUUUGCAGCAUAGUUUUGACAUUAUCACAAAUUUUGAAGUUAGCUCCUUUUCUCUAAAUUUUGUAGUAGUAAUGUGGAAAAGUAUACACAGUUGCUCGACCAUCAUAAGUUCUAGAUUAUAAAAGUAAAAGCCAAGGAAAAAUAUAAAAGGAAAAUUUGUAUGUUCCAUUUGAGUUUGACUGAAUCAGCUUUUGCUAAGUUUUGGAAUUUAAUAAAAAAGUUGGUGAAACUUGUAAACUUGAUGAGGCAAUAUGAAAAAGCUGCGGGUAUAUGUUUCACAUUUGUUGAUGGUAAUUCAAAGAGGACAAUUAUGACUGAGACAUACUCAAAAGAUAACAUUUAGAGCAAUAAUCUCAGUCUAUGUUUGUUGAACAGAUUAUGAAGAAUUUUGAAAAAGAGUUCUAUAAAUUCUUUUAUAUUUCUAUAUUACUCUUUUGUUUUGAUUCAAAGUUUCUAGCAACAGUUUACAAAUUUUGGUUUCAUUUUAUUUAUAUAAUCAUUAUUUUUGGGUCAAUUUCUCUAAAGACGUGAAGAAUCGUUGCCUAUAUUUAAAAGAAGACUCUUAGAGGGCUUGUUGGACUUUGCCGCCAGAGAAUUGCAGGUUCAGGUAAAUAUUGUUUUCUAUUGUUACAGUUUUUCCUAAUAAGAAGUUUUGUGCAAGAUAUGCCAUGCCUUGGUAAUGAUAUUCUUUCUGCUAUUGUUACUCCUCCCCCACAUUAAUUUUAUUUGGGAAUGUCUAUCAUACUUCGGAAACAAAAUCGCAACGAUUAUCAAAAUCAUAUGCUAAAACUAUAAAUAAGUGCAAUUAUCUAUGUUUCUCUUUUUUGUUAAGAGUGGAAGAAAAAACAGUAAUGACAUUCACAUACAGCUUUCCCUUGCUGCAGACUCAAAUUAUUGCUGCGGCUGCAGCUGGUGUUGCAGCUGAGGGCCUAUCCCCAGUAGAUGCUAAGGCUGAAGCUGAUAAUGCUGCCCAGUUGUCUGUGGCCUUAGUAGAGAAUGCCAUUGUGAUACUUAUGCUUGUUGAAGACCAUUUGCGGUUGCAGAGCAAACAAUCUUCUUCACGUAAUGCAGAUAUAUCUCCAUCGCCCCUUUCUACUUUGUACCCAAUAAGUGAUCACAGAAUUUCAUUGUCAACAAUAGACGAGUCAAUUGAAGUCACAGACAAACGAAGAUCACUAUCCAGUGGCUCAGAGGCAAUCCCUCUAGAUGUAUGCUUAUAGUAAUCUAAAACUACACAUGCAUGCUACAUGUCAUAAAUAGAGAAGUAUUUUGUUUUGAUAUUUGUUCAUCUCCAGUAUUGCAUCCAUUAUUAAAUUUAUGCAGUAAGAUACUGAUCUAUUCUCCAAAUAUCUUUUGUUUUUAACUCUCCCUGCUUGAUACUUCUUAUCUCUAACUUUUGUGUUUGUCUUUCAGAUUUAAGAAAAUAUGUGCCAACUUUUUUUACUUAAUGCCAUUGCAUUUGCAUUCUCAUCGAUUUGAUUUGUCUAUUAAUCCUCAUAUCAUUUUUGUCCUAUAUAUUUUUAUAUUGGUGAAACUCAUACUUUCAUGGUUUUUGAAGGCCCUUUCUUCAAUGGCUGAUGAAAGUGGUCAGAUCCCUACAUCAUUGAUGGAAAGGAUUACGGCUGCAGCUGCAGCUGAGCCUUAUGAAUCUGUAUCUUGUGCUUUUGUGUCACACGGGUCCUGUGCAAAGGAUUUAGCUGAUGGCUGGAAAUAUCGGAGCCGUUUAUGGUAUGGUGUUGGUCUUCCACAUAAUCCAGCUGCAUUUGGUGGUGGAGGCAGUGGAUGGGAUUUUUGGAAGUCAACUUUGGAGAAAGAUGGCAAUGGAAACUGGAUUGAGCUUCCCUUGGUGAGGAAGUCUGUGGCAAUGCUCCAAGCAUUAUUGCUAGAUGAGUCUGGACUCGGUGGUGGUCUUGGUAUAGGUGGAGGAUCAGGUACCGGAAUGGGAGCUAUGGCUGCAUUGUACCAGCUAUUAGACAGUGACCAACCAUUCUUAUGCAUGCUUAGAAUGGUUCUUCUAUCGAUGAGGGAAGAUGAUGAUGGUGAAGAUUAUAUGCUGAUGAGAAAUACAAGUAUUGAGGAUGCAGCAUCUGAAGGAAGAAAACCGCGAUCAGCACUUUUAUGGAGGUAGAACAAUCCCUUCAAUCUAAAAUCAUAUGCUUGUUUCUCUCCUAUAAUGUAGUCUUGUACUAGUUUUACUGCAAAUAAUUCAGAAACAUGAUUCAAGUAAGACAUAUCUUACAACUCAGUUCGUAGGACCAAAACAAGGAGGACAGCAAAAAAAAACUAAUAUUACUAAUGUAUAAAAGGUAAUUCGAGAGUGCUCCUCUUGGUAAGGUAAAUCCAAAGUGCUUCUCCAAGAAAAAGGGCUUUUCAAUUUCCAGGAAGAAAGACUAGUAAUAUUCUCUAAUUCUGAACAUGUUUCCUAUAAAGGGAGUUUGUAGCAAAAAUAAUAAAAAAAUCCUGCAUACAACAUAAUUACAUACAUUUUCUUGGAAAAAUAUGUCUUAGAAUUUGACUUAGGUUUAACUCAAUCCCAAAAGCUAGCUCAUUGGGUGGGAAUUGCCCAAGCUUUAUAAGUAAUACUUUGGCCAUCUCUAGCCGAUGUGAGAUCUAACACAUGCAUUCACGCGCGUGACUCAACAUUUGGAGUAUGAACAAAUAUGGGUGGCCCAAUAACAAAUCUAGGGUAGGUUUUGAUACUAUCUUAGGAUUUGGACUUGACUUGAUUAAUCCCCAAAAGAAAAAGAAAAUAGAAAGGAAAUAGAAACGUACCUGGAUGUGUUAGAGCACAAGUAUCAUUGAGUUUCUCCAACUUACUUAGGAGAGAUUUCAUAUUUUCUACUUAUGUUAAGUUGCCCUCGUCUCCACCAUUACUUCCUCCCACGUGUGCACGUCCGCCCUUUUUUGACAAGUCUCCCUUUUGUUCCCACUCUUUUAUUAGGGGGGUUUCCAUUCAAUUUCCAACAUUUUUCUCGAGUACGAUGAGGCUUCUUCUCAACAUAGGUUCCUCCCCAUUUCUUCUAAUCAACCAUCAUGGACGAAUUCUUCUCAGCUGGCAUUGCUGAGCUUUCCACAAGUGGUGUUGUCAGCAUUAACCCCUUCUACUUUCUCCAAUCCUCACUAUAGCCACUACCUCAUUAAUGUUUAGUACUUUUUCUUUGUCAAGAAUUUGUAUUCUAACUUGGUCAAAGUCACAGUUGAGUCCCACCAGAAAACCAUAGAUUCUAUCUUGCUCAAUGUACUUAAGUGUUGUUGAAUCUUAUGUACACUUGGUUUUGAUAACGCUGCAGUGGUUUUAACUCCAACCACAUGGCUUUGAGAUGAUUAGCAUAUUCUGUAACUGUUUUGUUUCACUGUUUAGCUGCCAGUGUUUUCACCUUCACAUCAUAUAUUUGGGCAGCAUCUUUGGCUUUAGUAUACGUCUCUUCUAAUGCUUUCCAAAUCUCCUUUUCCGUACUUAGGAACAUGCAAGUGUCACUGAUUUCUAGAAUCAUUGAACUCCAGAACCAUGCAAUGAUGGCCGAAUCUUCUGUAUCCCAUUUCUGAAACUUGGAUCUGUCUUUUCGGGAGGCUUGUCUGUUAGGUGUCCUGCAUUCCCUUUAUCUUUCAAGGUUGCUUUCAUGAGUUGAGACCGGAGGAAUGUUUGGUAAUUCUGAUUCAAACAUGUAAUCAUCUGUUUCAUUUUUAACACCAGCCAUGAAGAAAAAGAAGGGGAAAACUUUUUUUUUUGAAAGUUUUUUCCGGCUUCCGGAGAGUGGCGGAUCUUCCGGCGGCGAAAUUCUGGGGUCUGGCCGUUUUUUUCAAGACACCGACGUUGGUGUGGGGUGUGAGAUUAAAAAGUGGACGAGGAUAGAUGCAGUUGUAUCAACAAUGCACAUGGGUGAAUAGUACCUAAGCUUUGUUAAAGGUGACUAUGCAAUGAAGGUAACAAUAAAUAGACUGCAAUUAAGGCGGCUAAGGUUUUGGAAAAAGAACCGCAAUUAAGCUGACUAGGGUUUUGAAAAAAAACUGCAAUUAAGGUGGCUAGAGUUUUUUUUUUUCGGAAGCUAAACCCUCUCGAAUGAGAGUUCAUGAUACAAUGUUAAAUCUGAAUAUUACUUGUGAUAAUGAAUACUAUCUCCGUUCCUUUAUGUAAGUGACAACUCACUUUUUAAAUUCAUUGAAUAAUCAAUGUAUUUAGUCUAUAAACCGAUCAAGUACAUUGGUUAUUCAAUCAACCUAAAAAUUGAAUUCUCUUAUAUAAAGGAAUGGAGAUAGUAUAAAACACUAAUCUCUUUAAAUAGAGUAUUCUGACCAGACGGGCCUUACUAAAGAUCCAAACAUGAAUUACUAUAAUAUUAAAAAUAACAAUAAUAAAGUAAACUAUUUCUAACACAGCCUGCCUCGUUCCUUUCAAAUGUGCCUUGUACCUUUACUGUAAAUGCUCACUUACAGUUCACUGUAUUCUUUUCUAUACGUAAAGUCGUGACUAAAAGUUUUAUUCUUUGAGCUCACAUCACCUUCAGAACAACUUCCUCCAAACUUAUAGAGCCCUCUGUACAUUUUUUUGAAAUUUCUACAUCAGACAUUUGAGAGGUAAAUCCAGCAAAUGAAGAAAGCCAAAUUUGAGUAUGACAAAUAUUUAGGCAUAGGAUGCUUGGUACAUGAUCUAAAAGGUUUCCUAGUUGCUAUAUGUACAUCUAAAUCUUAAUUAAGAUUGUUAGGAAUAGAAGAAGACUUACCACAACUCUUAGGCAUAGAAGAAGACUUACCCGGAUUAGGACGAUGAUUAGGAUCAUCUCUCGGCAGGGCUGGAGAAUGGGUUUCUUGGGAGUCUGAGAAAUCUAUUAUCAAGACAUAAUAUUAUAGAAAAAUGUUAAUGGUUACUUCCCUUUUUUAUUUUCAUUAUCUGAUGUAUUCUAGAUGGGUCAAUCUUUGUAUUGUUUAAUUUUUUUAAUAUAUUUAAACAGUGUUCUCUCACCUGUUCUCAACAUGCCAAUUUCUGAUUCAAAGAGGCAAAGAGUCUUGGUUGCAUCUUGUGUGCUAUAUGCUGAGGUUUGUGUUUUCAUCUUGUCCAUUCUCAUUCUUUCUGAUUUGUCUUCUUUUUGUAUACAACAAUGUAGUUACCGGUAGUAAUCCUCUGUCAGGUAUACCAUGCUGUUAGCAGAGAUCAAAAGCCUCUUCGCAAACAGUACCUUGAGGCUAUAUUACCACCAUUUGUUGCUGUCUUAAGGAGGUGGCGCCCCCUUUUGGCUAACAUCCAUGAGCUUGCUACUGCUGAUGGUUUGAAUCCUCUUGUCGCCGAUGACCGUGCAUUAGCUGCUGAUUCCUUGCCGAUUGAGGUACUUUCCUGUCCAUUCCUAUAAAUACACACAUUAAAACAAAUGUAAUAAGAAGGGUUUGACUCAGUUUUAUGCCAAUACCUUCACAUUCACUUUUAACACAUUGUUUAGUUAAAACAAUGUUUUUUUAAAUUUAUAAUAAAUUUUCUUUACGUAUUAUUUAUAGUAAUAUUGUAUAUAAAAAAUAUUAAAUUUACUCUCUUUACCACUUUUCAUUUUUACUGAUGGAUACUUUUGUCAUUUCAAAAAUAUUCUUUUUUUUCCUUUCCUCCAACUUUUACCCAAUUGAACAAGGAAAGGGAACACUUACAUAUUUUUUCCCUUCCCUUCCCUUUUAUUUUUUGAAACAACUAUUAAAUCAUCUCAUUUUCUACUCUCUUUCGUUUAACUUUAUUUCCUUCUACUUCCUUUGACUUGCUCUUCCAGAUUUUUGGUUCUAAUAAAGUUGAUCGUAGGUCCAGUAAGAUCAAUGGGUGUCAUGAGUUGUCUAAUUUCUUUGCAUAUGGGAAGUAUUGAUCACCUGAAGUAAUCCAUGUGGAAAGACCUAAGAGAAGGCAUACUUAUAACUCUAUCCAAAGCAAAUUUAAAGGCAAUAAUCACACCCUUGAAAGCCAUGAUAUUCCUUUACAACACAAAUAAAGUCCCUUACAAAUAAACAUUGGCACAAUGUAUUGAUUUCCUUCUUGUUUACCUUCUUAUUACCAAACCAUUAGACUCUCGAUUGGAAAAGAAAAUAAUUGUUUGAAUGCAAAAUGGCAUGUGUAGGCAUCACAAAAAAGACUGCAAUUCAAGUUGGCACCCCAACUACUACCUAUAACUUUUAAGUUUAACACACCAUAAGUUUAUUAAGAAAAGAGAAAAAAGUACCCCAAAAAAUAUGGGUUAUUUCAGAGGAUCAGUACUUCUCAGAUUCAAAUAAAUUAGACAGCUUUAAUGCUGAUUAAUCUUAUUAGACCUGUUUCGAUAAUUUUUUUUGCUUUGUUUUUAUAGCCAAAGUAUUCCCUUUUCUCUAUGCUUUCUGAUUCUAAUACAACAUACACAGUGCGCGCUUCACACAUGAUUCAUUGGCAUGAUCUUGCUGCAUUGUUUUAGAUGUUGAAUUGAUAGUUGCUAUUUUCUUCAGGCUGCUCUCGCAAUGAUAUCUCCUGCCUGGGCUGCUGCUUUUGCAUCUCCACCUGCUGCAAUGGCACUGGCUAUGAUUGCAGCUGGUGCGUCAGGUGGCGAAAGCCAAGCUCCUGCAACACCUACCCAUUUUAGGCGUGACACCUCACUGCUCGAACGCAAACAGACUAGGCUUCAGACGUUUUCAAGCUUUCAAAGUUCUUCGGAGGUCUCUAACAAAACACCACCUCUUCCCAAGGAUAAAGCAGCUGCAAAAGCUGCUGCUUUGGCAGCUGCUCGUGAUCUUCAGCGAUUUGCAAAAAUUGGCUCUGGAAGAGGUCUUAGUGCUGUUGCAAUGGCUACAUCUGCACAACGAAGGAGUGCUAGUGAUAUGGAGCGGGUCAAGAGGUGGAAUAUUUCUGAAGCAAUGGGAGUUGCCUGGAUGGAAUGUUUGCAGCCAGUUGGUACAAAGUCGGUGUAUGGGAAAGAUUUUAAUGCUUUUUCAUACAAAUAUAUUGCUGUUCUUGUAGCCAGUUUUGCACUAGCAAGAAAUAUGCAACGGUCUGAGGUUUGUUUGCUAAUUUUUUCCAUGACACGCAGAUUUAUUGAGAAGCUGCUUGUUAAAUAUUACAUGUUUGCCAGGUUGACAGGCGCGCUUAUGUGGAUAUAGUUACUCGUCAUCGAAUCAGGACUGGAGUCCAUGCAUGGCGCAAACUUAUUCACCAAUUAAUUGAGAUGAGAAGUCUUUUUGGGCCUUUUGCAGAUAAUUUAUACAGCCCGCCUCAGGUAUGUUUUGAUAUUCACAUUACAAAUCUCAAAUUCUUAUAACUAGAACGUGUCUUCAAGGAAAUGUGCCUUUAGUUGCUUGCUGUUGUUUCAUGUUUAUUCUUGGAAUAAACCAGAGGGUUAAGACAGAAAAAACAGCUUUUUGUAUGGGACUUUUGGUUUUGCUAAAUUUUUUGACUGUUCAAUUUAUCUGAUGCUUGUUUUUCUUUUUCUUUUGUUUUUGCCUAUAAUUGGAGGAUAUGUUAUCUGGCCAGCUAUUACUCAUACUAAAAUUUAAUCAUGCGACAAAGUACUUGAGUUCACUUUAUUAUACUUAUUAUUAUAUUUUUUUUUUGUAGGUUUUUUGGAAACUAGAUUUAAUGGAAAGUUCUUCCAGGAUGAGAAGAUGUUUGAGGAGGAAUUAUCGAGGAUCUGAUCAUUUAGGUUCUGCGGCUGAUUAUGAGGAAUACUCGGGAGAGAAAAAUGACCAGAGCACUCCAGUUUUGUCUGCCGAAGCAAUCUCAUUGGAGGCAGUCAAUGAAGAUGAAGAACAGGUGGAUGCUGAGAAUUUGGUUGCUAGGACUGAUGAAAUUCAAAAUGAAGGAGACAAUCAGCCUAGACUUUCUGAAUCAGCAGAGCAAUCUGUUCGGGCAUCUUUGGAAUCCAGUGGUUCUCAACUUGCAACUGAUGAACACGAUCAGAGCUCUUCAGCCAUCGCACCUGGGUAUGUUCCUAGCGAACUUGAUGAAAGAAUUGUUCUCGAGCUACCAACAUCUAUGGUCCGACCACUUAAAGUCAUUCGGGGAAUCUUCCAAGUAAGUUUUACAGGUCUAUUUUUAAAAUUAUUAUAAUUUUGACUAACUUGUAUUGAGUUAUGAAUGUGAAUGCCUCCAUUGAUUCGGAAACUAUCAUGUUGAUACUGCUUAUGUGAGUUGUAGAUUGUGUGCACUUUAUCGGCAUAUAUCUUUUGCAUUUCAUAGCCUUUUGAGAAAAUGUGAUUAUGUGACCUACUGAGGUUGCGUUGACAUAUAAGAAAAUUUAUAAAGCAUGAAGAAUUUUGCACUUAAUGUUUCUAUUGUGGGAAAGAUGUAUUGCACAUAUAUUCUAAAAGUUAGAAUAUCCAAAAAAUACCUUUGAGGCAGAGCAUGAUGCACACUCCAUGAGGACAGUUUAUGCUAUUUAGCAAUAAUAUAUUUUUGAGAAUGACGUAGAAUUUUUAUUGAUUUGAUCUUAUCUUCAGGAGUUAUUUUUUCUCUUGUUUAAUUUUGAUUAAGGGUUUUAUUUUAAAUAUAAACUGAACCACUGUCUGGUUUAAUGGAAACAAAGUUUGAAAAUAGUUUCACAGCUUUUUUUUUCCAACCAGAAAAUAAACCAUGAAUCGUUCAACUAUAAACCAGGAAAUAAGGAAUGAAAUAAUCAUGGAUAUCAGGAUUCAAUUUCAUAUCACAAGGAAUCCCAAUCCAACCCUGGAAAAGAUUAUUUUUCCACAGUUUUACUGUUUUACAGUGCAUUAUAAUACACCAUAUACAUUUAAUGUCAUAUUCUGUUUACUCUCUAUUCUCUCUGUAUCCCCUUCCCAAAUCAAUUGUUUCAACAGUUUUCUUGUCAUAGUAUGAUAAUUUCGCUCAUACGAAGCACUAUGCUCUUGUUAUAGGUAACCAGUAGGAGGAUAAAUUUUAUAGUUGAUAACUAUAAUAAUGAGACCAGUGCUACAACAGAUGGUUUGCAUUCCAGUUUUAAGGCAGGGAACCAAGAAAAGGAUCGUAGUUGGUUAAUGUCAUCUCUUCAUCAAAUAUAUAGCCGGAGGUAAGCUCAUUUUGUUGAUUGUAUUGCUAUCGAAUCCAUUCCAUUCUGUUGUCAUUUUGAAUAUGUAAGAGUUAGUGUACCCAGCGAAUGGGCUGUCUCUCUUGAAGAGUUGAAUGCCUGUCUCUCUUGAAGCACCAUCUCCCCCUUUCGUUUGAUUACAUUACGUUUUUUGCAUCAUUAUAUUUUUUGCUGUGCAAAGUUAUUGCUCAUAUGCCAUGUACAAAUUCUGAAAAAAAAUAUACAUGUUAUUUGUGGUUUACAAGUGUUAGUUCCUUUACAGAUACCUCCUUAGAAGAAGUGCUCUGGAGCUAUUUAUGGUGGACCGUUCAAACUUCUUUUUUGAUUUUGGGGUAUUGUUUUUGCAUAUUCUUUCCUUCUAUUUUAUAAGAUGAAAAAGUAAUUUUGAACAUUUUACUGAUAAUUGAUAAAUCUUGUACACUUAUAAUCCUUGUCAUACACAUUCUUCUUAAACUAUUAGUGGAGGCUCUUGAACAGUUUUAUUUCUCUUGCAUGACCCAUCUUACAGGAGCCUUUUGUUCUCGACCUAUGGGUAAUGCACAGACCCAUUGUAUCUUGUUCUGAAAUUUGAUUUAAUUAUGAAAAAUGGGGCUGACAAGGAUUGAUUCGACUUUGUUUUAGUUUGUUAGAUGCUAAAGAUCUACUCUUCUAAAUUCUCAAACUGUCAGGUGGAGAUUUAAUAGUGGUUCACUAUCUUUCUAACAUUUCCCUUCCAAUUCCUCUUUAGAGUAGUGAAGGGCGAAGAAAUGCAUAUCGGGCAAUUGUUCAAGCACGACCUCCUCAUUUAAACAAUAUAUACUUGGCUACUCAGGUAAUAAACAGGUUCUCUGACUAUUUAUUUGUGCUACCUUCUCUGCAUAUGGGCUUAUUAUGAUAGAAGUAAAUGUGAAGGAAGUUGACUCUUUUUAUUUUGAUGUUACUGCAAUUUUACAAUUGUAUCCAUGUUAUACUUUUAUUUUCUGGUAUACUUUUUAUGCUGCAUGUUGUGGCUCAAAAACCUAAACUAGUACCCUCUUGUUGCAGAGACCUGAUCAACUUUUGAAAAGAACUCAACUUAUGGAGCGCUGGGCUAGGUGGGAGGUAAGAUUCUUAAUUAAUGAUGAAAGCUAGUCUAUAUUGUAAUAGCAGACUCAUUUCUCAUGUUUGAGUUUUUUACUUUCCUUGUGCAGAUCAGCAAUUUUGAAUAUUUAAUGCAACUCAAUACACUGGCUGGGCGUAGUUAUAAUGAUAUUACCCAGGUGAUCUCUCUCUCCCCCUCCCUCCCCCUUCCCCUCCCCCUCCCCCUCCUCUCACUCUCACCCCUCCUCUCCCCCCCUCUUCUCUCUCAUAUUAUACAUAUACAUAUAUAUAAUGUAUAUAUAUAAUUAUGAUAGAUUAUAUAUGUUAGUGUAUAUAUAUAUAUAUGUAUAUAUUAUAUGUGUAUAUAUAUAAUAUAUAUGUGUAUAUAUAUAUUAUAUAUAUAUAUAAUGUCUAUGUGUAUAUAUUGUAUGUUCUUUAUGUAUGUGUAUGUAUAUAUUGUAUGUAUAUAUAUAUAUAUUUAUAUAUAUAUAAUAUAUAUUAUAUAUAUUAAUAUAUAUAUAUAUACUAUAUUAUAUCUCACACACCAAUAAUAUAUAUUAUAUAUUAUAUAUUACACACAUAUACACACACAUAUUAUAUAUAUAUAUACAAUAUAUAUAUAUUAUAUAUAUACAUAUAUAUAUGUAUAUAAUAUAUAUGUAGUGUGUUGUGUGUGUAUAUAUAUAUAUAUGUGUGUAUAUAUAUAUGUUAUAUAUAUAUAUGUAUAUAUUGUUAUAUAUAUAUAUGUAUAUAUAUAUAUGUGUAUAUAUAUAUAUAUAUAUAUAUAUGUGUGUGUGUUUAUAUGUGUGUAUAUAUAUAUAUAUAUAUAUAUAUAUGUGUGUGUGUAUAUAUAUAUAUAUGUAUUAUAUAUAUAUAUUAUAUGUUAUAUAUAAUAUAAUAUAUAAUUAUAUACAUAUAUAUAUAUAUAUUAUUAUAUAUAUUCUGAACAUGAAUCAAUCUUCCUCUUCCUUAAUUCUUCUGUUCUCAACUUUAAUUACCUCAUCACUUUCAUUUGUUUCUAUUACAAGGAUCAAACUUUUCCUUUAAUUACUUUUCUCUCAACUUUAAUUAUCUUUUCUUUUUCUCAUAAUUCAUUUACCAAAUAUUUGAGCAUUUACAAUAUAUAAUUUAACAUUUUAAUCCUAUCUUCAUAAUUUUUAUUGAUCAUUAGUUGCCUAACUUUGGCAGUAUCCGGUGUUCCCCUGGAUUCUUUCUGAUUACGAUUCAGAGAGCUUGGACAUUUCAAAUCCUUCUUCUUUUCGAGACCUUUCAAAGGUAUGUAUUCCGUUACUUUAAUCACAUUAAAUAAAAACAUGUAUUAAACUUAAGUUUAUAAUUUAAUCUUUUGGUAUGAUGCAGCCUGUUGGGGCACUGAACCCAGAUCGUCUGAAAAGAUUUCAAGAGAGAUAUGCCAGCUUCGAUGAUCCAGUCAUCCCUAAAUUCCACUAUGGCUCACACUACUCGAGUGCAGGAACGGUGGGUCUCCUCUUCUUUAUUAGGAGUCAUUCUUGAUUAUUAUAUUUUGUUAGCACUCUAGCUGAUAGGUUCUUUUGGUAUCUUCGAUAAUGUCUUGAGUCCUAGGCAGAUAGUUAGUUUGCUUACUGAGUUUCAUUUCACAUCAUUGCUGUGCAGAUAGUUUGAUUCAAAAUGGUGCUAUUUUUAACUUGUUAAUUUCAGCAAAUUUCACAUUUGCUGGGUUGUGUGUGUGUGUGUAUAUAUAUAUAUAUAUAUAUAUAUAUAUUUUGCUGGCUUACUUCCAACAUAUUAAUGUAAUUGCAGAGACAAAUUAUUCAUAAGUAUGAACUGACCCUAAGCUUGGAUAUGUUGCCCUUGAGGCAAAUGAUUUUCCAAAAACGCUAUUGUACCAUACUAUUAUAAUAACAGCCUUGUAAUUGAUAAUGUUCAUGCAUAUUUAAAUGCAGAUGCUAUAUCCAGCAAAUAUUCAUAGAAUAUGUUAAGAGUCUCAUAUCUAAUAAUAUAUGGCCUGAAACCCUACCCUACAAGCCGGUUUGUAAGGUUGAGUUGAGUUCAACCACAUUUUUUAACAUGGUAUUAGAGCCCAAUUUAAAAUUCGGUGGGCCACCUGCUAUCAAGUUACCGCUAUCGAUUACCCACCAUUUAUUUCCACGCUCUAGUUGUCAAUUUUGGGCUUGAGGGAGUGUGUUAAGAGUCCCCUAUCGGAUAAUAUUAAUAUAUGGUUUGAACACCACAUUUUUUAACAAAAGGGGUAUUUUAAGAGUCCCACAUUAGAUAAUAUAUGACUUGAGCUCCACGUUUCUUAACCGAAUAAAUCACGAAGGCAUAAUGAUUGAAGGCUUGUCAAUCAAAAUUCACUUUUUGCGGAACACACCGAAGCUUGGCAAAGUAAAAGGUAGAUCCUUCUUUAUUUGACUCAAUACCGGGAAGUUCUUAAGUAAUGGAGCAGGUGAAAUUAUCUGACACAUCAUUCGAUAGAUAUAACAUUUUCCAUAUUUAAGUGGAUUCUUUUGGCUUUCCUCUUUGUCUGUAUAUGUAAUAUACUAAUAUAGGACUACAGACAAAAGAUCGUGUUAAUAGUCCCACAUUAUAAAAGAUAUGACACGAACAUGGGUUUAUAACUGAGAGACAAUAAUCUUUACCUUACAAGUCUGUUUCGUAAGGUUUAGUUAGUUCUAAUCCAAAUUCUAAAAUGUUAUCAGAGCCUAUCCAAGAUCUGUUGGGUCACUUGUCAUAUGUUUUAUGCUGUCGGACUACUCGGGUCACGCUUUAGAUGUCCAGUCCAGGGAGAGAGAGGCAUGUAUUAGAAAUUUCCACUUUGAAAGAGAUAUUGCCAGAACAUGAGUUUAUAAUGAGUUUAUAAGCAAAAGACAAUCAUCACCUUACAAGUUUGUAAGGUUGAGUUAGUUCCAAUUCAAAAUCUAAGACAUGAUGUAAUCUGUACAAGUUUUCUGUUUCUGUAAGUAGGUUAAAGGUUACUAGGGAAGAUUCAAGCAAGUGCCCGUUUAGGUUUUGGUUGUUUACUAAAUAUUGUAGGUCAGUAAAGGCUGUAAUUUCAUAAAAAAAUGUUCAGAAGAAUCUUAAUAGAAAUCGAUCUAUGAUUUCUGGGGUAGAUCAUGCAAUCAAUUUGAAAGAAUUUUGCUGAAUCAUUGCCAUGAAACAGUCCAUAUUAAAAUAUACGUCAAUUCUUGUUAAGAGUCUCACAUGGACAGUGUGAUAUGGCAUGGCCAAUUGUUACAAGUGGAGACAAUCCUCUCCCUAUGAGCUAGCUGUUGGAAUUGAGUUAGGCUCUACUUCAAAAUCAAAGAGGCAACGGAAAAAUGGGACCGCCUAAGCAAUUUCUUUGAUGAUUUAAUCUGCCGUAUUCUGUCUUUCCUCUAAACAAUCUAUAACUCACCCCAUGAACUAGUUUUUGGGGUAGAACAAGGCCAAACCAACUGUCUUAAAAAUUGUCACUAAAAGAAUAAACAUUACAUCCUUUUAAAUAGAUCUCAUAUAUCUUCUUUUUUUCCAAAGAAAAGCAAAGCAUGUCUGAUCCCGUAUAGAUACUUGCUAAUAAUGGUACAAUAGGAAAGGUAGCAUUUGAGCAACUUAAAUCCAAUUACUUACACAUAAGUAAAGACCACAAAGAAUUAGAUCUAUAUCAGGCCCAAAACGAAACUUAACAUCUGAAAGAAUAUCAACCUUAAACUUAUGCUUUCUUUAUAUUUUACUGUCUGUAUAGUUUCUUUUUGCUAUUGCAUGCAAGCCUUCCUUUUUGUAUGUAUUGGACCACCAUGACUUCUGAUGCCUGAUAUUUACAUUGUAUUUUUUUUUUCAUUCCAGAACAGCAAAAGUAAUUGUCCAGUAAUAUAAUGCUGUCGUCUUUGAUGAAUUUUUUAGUUUCUGAUUCUGCAAUAACUAGUGUCUAUUAUCUUCUUUUAUAGGUUUUAUAUUAUCUUGUUAGGGUUGAACCAUUCACUACCCUUGCUAUCCAACUGCAAGGUGGAAAAUUUGACCAUGCAGAUCGAAUGUUUUCUGAUAUUUCUGGUACUUGGAAUGGAGUUCUUGAGGACAUGAGUGAUGUGAAGGAAUUGGUAUGUAUAUUCUUUAUAAAAAAUUACUGGUUGAUAUGCCUUGGCUAGCUUCUUAAUAUUGUUAACAAGAUUUAAUGCUUUUAUUAAUAUUAAUUCUUAUCAUGGUUUUAUUUAACUUAUAUCAUAAUGAUUUUCCUCAUUUAUGCUUUUUUAGGUUCCUGAGCUAUUUUACCAACCUGAAGUUCUCACAAAUGAAAAUUCAAUUGAUUUUGGCACAACACAAUUGGGAGGAAAGCUUGGUAUAUUAAUUAAAAUUUUCUGCACUAGUUUGACUUUAUUGUAUACUCAAUGCAAAAUGCAAACCAUGGUUAAUAGCUCAUUUCUGCCAUUCCAGAUACUGUAAAACUUCCUGCUUGGGCUGAAAAUCCAAUUGAUUUUAUUCAUAAGCAUCGGAAGGCUUUGGAGAGUGAAUACGUAUCUUCUCAUUUACAUGAGUGGAUUGAUCUUAUAUUUGGGUAGGCUUCUAACUUCUUUCAGUUUCACCCCGUUUUUAGGGUGUUCAUUUGAUGUUUGCCCCUGCUCCAGACUGCUUCCUCCUAUCAUUUUAAUGUUUUCCUCUUUUUCAUAAGUUUGCUACACCACUAUUUUUAUAACUAUUUUUAUGAAAUAUGCAUUUUAUAAUAGUUCCUUUGUAUUGUACUUUUUGUUUCAUCAAUUAGUUGGACCAUGCAGGUAUAAACAACGGGGAAAAGAAGCCGUUGCAGCAAAUAAUGUUUUCUUUUAUAUUACCUAUGAAGGGACGGUGGACAUUGAUAAAAUCUCUGACCCAGUAUGUCUCCUUUUUUCUCCAUAUUUUCAACUCAAUUAUUUGUCCGAGUAAAAUGCCACCCCUCAGAAAGCUCAUUAAAAAAUGACACAUUUCUUCUUAGUUGAUAUUUGAUGAUUCCCUUCUUCACUAUAGUUAUACUAAAUUAUAUUUCAUGUAUGUAUCCUACUCCGAGUCAAUCAAUAAUGCAAAGCAAUCCAUGUUAUAAAUACAUGAUUCUCUUCUAGUUUCCCGGAUGAUCCAUCUAACCUUCGGUUUCCUCAUUUUAUUCACACACUCCAAAUAAAUGUUAAUAUUAGAAACAGUAAUUGCUAAUAAAAAGUAACUAUGAUAGAAUGGAACAGUCACAUUCAUUUUUGGUUCCUAGUAAUUCUUAAGGUCUAACAUAAUACUCAGUCGUGUUUGAUAUAGAUGGCAUAACUAAUUUGUUAAAUAAUAAGAAAGUAUCUUAUAGUAUCAUAAUUUUAUCAUAGAAUAUCUUAGAUUAUCUCAGGAUCGGUUUUCAUAUUUUUCCAUUACUAUUAAUUUGUUUCCCUAACUGAUUUGAAUGAGUUGUCUAUAAUUAGUAUAAACAAAGUUUGGUGCAUAGUUCUUUGAAUUAUCAUCAAACCAUGAUUAUGAUUCAAAGUAUUUAUUUGUUUCUCUUCUGUGCUUCUCUAUCUGAAGUCUGCCAUACCUUCAAUAUGGUAUCACAGCCGUACAAACCGUGACUUAUCCUAUCACUAUUAUGUUAUUCAGCUCUCUAAACUUUGAAACUCUAUCAUAAUAAUGUUGUUAUUCAUGAUGCUUAUCUUUUUCCAUGAUCCAUCUCCUUCUUUGGUUACCAGUCACCACUGUCGAUUUCUGAACUCCAUGAUUGUAUGUAUCUUACUGCACUCGAAACUUUUUUCUGGCCACCAUCAGCCACCACCAGAAAAAUAAUUGUGCAAGUCUAUUGACCGAAACCACCACCUUCUGGCAAUGUGGUGGGAUAUCUCUGUUUUCUCUACUUGUGUUUUCUUCCAUUUUCUUGGAUUAUGUACCUUUAUUAUUCACCCAACGCUUCCAACAAGUUGUUGCAUAAGAAAGCCAUUGCCUUACACCGUCACUACAAAUGCCAACUUUUUUCAGAACCAGAGCAACACAUAAUAUACCUUUAAGAUGAAAGAGUUGUGACACCUUGUAUAACAUGCGCCACAUGUCAACCGAUCGGACCGGCCGAAAUGGUCCGGGUUUUAAACCUAUGCCCAUACCCAUAGGAAGCAUCGGUUUCCAAGAAGUAUUUACUUGAGAGGUAUUCUCUCCUAAUUGAAGUAUGCAAAAAGUAGACUAAACUAUGCAUUUUAAGAAAUGUAUUUGAUCACAUUUAAUCAGUUCAAAUUCAAUAAAAAAGUAAGUCAAUUGCCUAAGUUUCUCUUAGAGUAAUAAAUUGAGUCAUUGUAAAUACAAAAAGUUAUAUUAAAUGUAGAGUAUUUUAGAGAUACUCUCAUUAAAGAGGAAAGAAGCAGUUCAUAUUUGCUUAUUUUUCCUUCCAAUAAAUAUUAAUUAUUUUUGCUUAUAAUUCAUUUCGAUGGGGGUAUACUCCAAGGAGUAGCACAGGCAGCAAUGAUGAUAGGGUUGGUGUUUGGAACAGACCCGUUAACUCCUGAGUCCAGCUUUGUUCCUAUUUUCUUAUGGAUGAAACUAAGCGAUUCAAUAUUAUUUUUGUUCUUUUAAAAGUGAAGGCAGAAAAUUUGAGGUGUUGAUUUUUUUCUCGGAAAACUAUCUUUCAAAUUAGAGCGGGGUUUGAUUGGAAUCUAUUUGAGAUAUUUGGUACUGCAGGCAUUUUCUUAUAAAGUCUUUAAUUAUCAUAUAAAGUCUUGAUAUUGUCAAGGACAACUAACCCAAAAGCUUAAACUGUUUGGUGAAGACACUAAUGAGUUUAUAUUGCAUCUCUUAGACAACCCUCAUGCCAGAGCCCGUAGGGCUUGAAACGCUCACAACGCAUAGGCUUGCCUUGCCUAUCUUCUGGAAAUUCAACUUUUUUUUAUCAAAAUAAUGGAAGAAGAAUCGGUCAAACUCUAGAUUAGGAUCAUAUGGGAUCUAAUACCAUGCAUUAACCAACUAUCUCAAAAUAUAAGCUAUUAGAUGAACAUACAUGACAAUAUUUUUAUGGAAAUAAUAUGCGGAAGCGUUUUGCAGCUGAAAUUUAUAUUAAAAUUGAAUUUUGGAAAACAUUUGCAAGGAACCUCCUUUAUUGAUGUUUUUUCCAUGUUUAUGUAACUGACUAUUUUCUUUUGUACAUGAUAAGUAAAGGUUCAGCAGCGUGCCACGCAAGAUCAAAUUGCAUAUUUUGGACAAACACCGUCCCAGCUUUUGACCGUUCCCCAUUUGAAGAAAAUGCCGUUGGCAGAAGUUCUGCAUUUGCAGGUAACUAUUGAUUCUUUUGGUUUGAAAGCUUUUAUUGAUAAAUUACAUUUUGAGUCUUGAGUUCUUGACGGAGCAUGCAUAUAUGCUCGAGUGUGCUCUCCUCCCUUCCCUUCUCUUCUCGUUUCAAAUAAACACCAAAUAUAUACAACACUAAAUGGAUUAUAUUCUCCCUAAAUAGAAGAUGCUUCCCUAAACUUUUCCUCAAGUUGGUGCAUAUAAAUCAUAUGCACCAAGCUUGUUACAAAUAAAGUGAAUAUAAGGACUUCAAAGAGACCUAGUGAGAAUAUAUUACUAGGGUUGACAAAACCCAAUGGCAAUUCCCUUGGAACUUUUUUCCUGUUAAUCUGAAUAGUGAAAUUUACAGUUUACAUUGUAUGGUUUAUGUUUUGUAGUCUCUACAGUUUACUGAAUUGUUUACAUAUUACUGUGUCUAGCUGAUACAUGUGACCAAGAAGUCAGUUUGUUAGUUAAAUUCUGACUUGCCAUUUCAAACUGCAAGUUAGUUAGAGCUUGUAACUAACUUUUAAGUACUACAUGUACUAUGUAAACCUUAGUUCACCACUUAAAGAUUCAUAAUUCGGAAUGUAACUUUUUAGAAACAUUUCCUUAGGAUGAGUUCCUCUCUCAAAUCCUCUCCAACAACUUUCGUUUAAUAUUUAAACCUAUUCGGUAAUCUAGAUGAACAAUUUUUGUAAAACAAUAUAAAUACUCAUCGUUACUAUUAAUUUUUAAAAGUGUUACCUGUUCAAUGGUAAAAUAUACGUGAAUACAAUAUGAAUUUGUCAUGAGAUGCCCUUCAGUUUCACAUCUGCUUCAUUGUUGAUGCAUAUGUUUCUUUUUAUAUCAGACAAUAUUCCGCAACCCAAAUGAAGUCAAGCCCUAUGUUGUUCCAUCACCUGAACGUUGCAAUCUUCCCGCGGCUUCCAUUCAUGCAUCUUCAGAUACGGUUGUGGUUGUUGAUAUGAAUGCACCAGCAGUGCGUGUUGCACAACAUAGGUGGCAACCCAAUACACCUGAUGGCCAUGGAACUCCUUUUCUUUUUCAACAUAGAAAGGUUACAGCAGGCUCUGCUGGUGGUACACUUAUGCGUAUGUUCAAAGCACCUGCUGCAUCGGGUGAAGAGUGGCGAUUCCCACAAGCUGUAGCAUUCUCUGCCUCUGGAAUUAGAAGCCAAGCUAUCGUUUCUAUUACAUGUGACAGAGAAAUUAUUACUGGUAAAUCUAAGAGAACUGAGUUUAUUUGCAUAUGAUGCCUUCAUAUUUACUUUAUGAAAAGAAGUCUUGUGAUUGGUUAAACUCUUGCUUGCAACAUUGAUAAAUAAUUGAUAACUAAUUAUCAAUUAUAUGGAAUCUCUCCUAGACGUGAACCAGCAGCAUAGGAUUUUCUAGACGCCUCCGUUGUAAUGUUUAUCUAAGUAGCAUUUGCUAUUGUUCUUAGUAUUUGUCAUGGAAAAAUAAAACAGAUAGAAAACUGGAUAUGCAAUUACUAGAAUAGCAAGGUACUAUGAAUUGGAUAGAAAUACCAUUGUCCUUCUACCCUUCUAAAUAUUUGUACUUCAAUACCAUAACAGAAGCAGCUGAUAAAACAACAGAGCAAUCAAUUCAAUUAUCUAUAUUCAGCUCAAUAAUGGAAGGAAUUCUAGACAUCUUCUCAAUCAUUAUUUAAUGAAGCUUUUCUUCAACACUGAAAUCAUAGGCAUAAUUGUCAUAUUUAAUAUCCUAAAUUAUUAUAAUCUAUAGGCACAGGAAAAGCAUUUUCUGUAUUGUAUGGGUAGCUCCUAAAGCUAAAUGUUGCAAAACUUGUGUUGAAAAUUUUGCGCCAAAUGAGUCCAUGUUAGCUUAUUCAAAUUAUCAACCAAAUAUUGAGAUUUUUUAAGUAUAUAUAUAGAUCAGAAGUAAAAUCCUGCCUAUGUUAGCUUUGCUAUGCAUAGCCAGCCGGUCCCAAACCCUGAUAAAAGAAGAGAGUUGUGUUAGGUUGUCGACAACAACAUAAAACUUGUUGAAUCUCUAUGACAUGGAUCAAAUACGUAAUGUGUUUGCUAGGUCGUUUUCCGUAAGCAAUGCGUUGUAUGACUUGAGUACAGUGUCAAAUGAGCAAAGGUCGCUGCAUCGCCGCUUGAAUGCAGUGAAAAAUAAGCAAGAGUUUCCAUAUUUUCGUGAAUGGGUGUGAGCUCCCACAUUCUCAAUUAUGUUGAUGGUGGUUUGGGUGGUCUAAGCUCGAUCCGACUUCCUUUUUGGGUGGAGCGUUGUUGAGUGGGUUCUUCUCCCGUGGCUCCUUUUCUCGUUAGCUAGCUCGUUGUUGCUUCCUUUCUUUGGCACUUCAUGUGACAUCUUAUCUUUGAUCUCUUGUAUGAUGGGUUUUUGUACCCCUCCUCUUUCUUAUUAUAUGUAAUACUUUACCUUAAAAAGAUCGUGAACACUAACCAGGUGCGGGUGAUAAAGUUAGGUCUUGAGAUUUGGAUUCUUUUUCGAACAUAGAAUAUCGGCACAUUUAUUGGGAAAUAUGUGGAAAUAAUCGGUAUUAUGUUUAGGAGGAAAGUCAAUUUUGUGUGCCUACAAGAAACUAAGUGGACAUGUGAAAGAGGAAAGAAUUAGAUAACUCAGGUGGUAAGACUAGACAAGAUAAGAUAAGAAAUGACAGCAUUAGAGAGCGUGUUAGGGUAACACCUAUAAAGAUGGUGAAAAAUAGACUUAGGUGGUUAGAGCAUGUAGAGAUGAGACCUAUAGAUUUCGUGGUAGAUGGAGAGAAGUCAAACAACUAGAAGUAGAGAAAGACUUGAAAAAAUUAUAGGAGAAAUUAUUUAGAAAGACCUCGAGAUUAACGAUUUGAAUAGACAUAUGGUCAUGGAUAGAAGAUUAUGACGGAAGUUGAUCCAUGUAGCCGACUCUACUUAGUGGGAUAAGAUUUGGUUGUUAUUGUAUUCACGGAAUACAUCCUAGAACUAGCACCAAGAUAUAUAUAUAUUUUUUAGAUGAUAUAGUCCUACUUAGACAAUCGGAGGAUUUAAAUGAGAGAUUGAAGACUUGAAGAUGAACCUUAGAAAUGUUUGGCUUUCGCCUAAGCAAAAGUAAGACGGAGUAUAUCGAAUGUAUGUUUAGCAAAAGAAGUUUUCUUAACCUAAAGGUGAAAGUUGGAGACUAUAACAUUCCACAAUUCAGUCGGUGUAAAUAUCUUGGGUCCAUCAUACAAAAUGAUGGAAAAAUAGAAGGAGAUGUAACCCAUUGAAUUCAAACUGGAUAGUUGAAAUAAAGGAGGGGUUCAAGGGUUUUAUGUGUGAAGAAAAUAUCGCUCAAGUUAAAGGAAAUUUUUAUGGAUAGAGGUAAGACUGCGAUGUUGUACGAGACCGAGUGUUGGACGGUUAAGAACCAAUACGAGAAUAAAGUAAGUAUAGUAGAGAUAAGGAUGUUGCGUUGGAUAUGCGAUAAAACUAUACGAUACAAGAUUAAAAAUGACAAUAAUAGAGAGAGUGUUAGGGUCACACCUAUAGUAUAAAAGAUGAUGGAAAAUAGACUUGAGUGAUUUGGGCAUGUAGAUAGAAAACAUGUAGAUUUUGUAUUAAGGAGAAUAGAUCAAACUAAGAGGUAGAGGAAGACCUAGAAAAAUUACAAGAGAAACUAUAAAGAAAGAUCUUGAGAUUAACGAAUUGGGUAGAAACAUGAUCUUUGAUAGAACUGUUAAGAAAUGUGGUUGGGCCUGACUCAACCCUACAAAACCGAGUGAGGACUUCCCCUACUUAUAAACACAUAUUCAAACCAUAUAUUAUCCGAUGUGGGACUCUUAACACACCCGUCACGUUCAGGACUAGACAACUGGAGCGUGGAAAUGAAUGAUAGGUGGUUCGAUAACGGAAACCAUAGUAGGUGGUCCACUGGAUCUUAAACGUGACUCUAAUACCAUGUUAAGAAAUGUGGUUGGGUCUAACUCAACCCUACAAAACCGGUUGGUAGAAUGAGGACUGCCCCCACUUAUAAACACAUGUUCAGACCAUAUAUUAUCCGAUGUGGGACUCUUAAGAAGAACAUUAUGGCGUAAUUUGAUCCAUGUAGCCGACUUCACUAAAUGAGAUAAGAUUUGAUUGUUCUUGUUGUAUAAGAAGCAUUAGUAAAUAAAUAAAAAAAUUCUAAAUCAGAACAAUUUGUUGCUUUGUUUAUAUUUAUUUUAUUUUCGGCCUUUACUAUAAUGUUUCAAAAUUGAUUGGUAUAGCAUUGCUAACUUGAAUUGCAAUACGUCCAAAGCCUUGGAUGUGUAUGAUUACUAAAAUAUUAUUGGGAAAUAGUUUUUUUUUUUUUUUAUAAAUUAUAUUUAUUCUGUCCUGUCAUCUGUUGCAUAGAAUUUUAGCAAUUUGCACUUCAUCUUGUAUUCUGAGCUGUGUGUUUGACAUAUAAUUUGAAGUAUUUACUUCUGAUUGAUUAGGCGGGCAUGCUGAUAAUAGCAUUAGGCUGAUAUCAUCAGAUGGAGCUAAGACCUUAGAAACAGCUUAUGGACAUUGUGCUCCUGUAACUUGCCUUGGUCUUUCACCUGAUAGUAACUACCUAGUCACAGGAUCCCGAGAUACAACAGUAUUACUCUGGAGAAUACAUAGGAUUCUCGUGUCUCACUCAAAUGUCGUAUCAGAACAUUCCACUGGGACAGACACACAAUCUCCAACCAGCAAUAGUUCAUCACACUUGAUUGAAAAGAAUCGGAAACGUCGAAUUGAGGGCCCUAUACAGGUACUUCGGGGGCACCGCAGUGAAAUAAUCAGUUGUUGUGUUAACUCAAAUCUCGGAAUAGUUGUUUCUUGCUCUCAUUCAUCAGAUGUCCUCUUGCACUCCAUUAGAAGAGGACGUUUAAUUAGAAGAUUGGAUGGUGUUUUCUUGCUCUCAUUCAUCAGAUGUCCUCUUGCACUCCAUUAGAAGAGGACGUUUAAUUAGAAGAUUGGAUGGUGUGGAGGCCCAUAUUGUCUGUCUUUCAUCUGAAGGGGUUGUAAUGACUUGGAAUGAAUCACAGCAUACUCUCAGUACCUUUACUCUCAACGGUACUCCAAUUGCAAGAGCACAAUUCUCCUUCUUUUGCAGUAUCAGCUGCAUGCAAAUUUCUGUUGAUGGGACAAGUGCUUUGAUCGGAGUUAAUUCUCUAGAAAAUGGUAGAACGUACAAUAACAGUUUAAAUUCACAGUUGAAUAAGUCAGGUGUUGAUUUUGAUUCAGAAUCAGAAGAAACUGACGAAAAUAACAGAACAGAUCUUCCAUCACCAUCAGUUUGCUUCCUGGAUAUGCACACUCUGGAGGUACAUGAUUAAGAUGUCAAAGAUAAAAUUACAAUUUUACAUUAAUCUCACAUUAAAUUACUCUAUUACAUUCAUCAUAUUUAUACACCUUGAAAAGGCAUUAUAUCAGGAAAAGCCAACAAUUUGCAACAUUAUUUCCUUUUCUACUGGGAGAAUCAUCAUAUAAGUGUUCUGCAGAUUUGAACUUUCAAAUACAAUAAUUGAAUUCUAAUUAAACAAGGCAAUUUUCUCAUGCCUUAUUAGUUAUUAGUCAACAUUUAGUCAAUAUUACCUUGUACUAUCAUCGUUAGCAAACUGUUCUUCAAUACUAAUCAUUCUUGCAUGCUAAUUAUUAUAGGUAUCUCAUGUAUUAAGACUGGGAGAAGGGCAGGAUAUCACAGCUUUAACUCUAAACCAGGAUAACACAAAUCUUUUGGUUUCAACUUUGGAUAAACAAUUGAUAAUCUUCACUGAUCCAUCUGUAAGUUAAAUCUUUCUUGUAUCUUUGUGAAAUAUCAAUGAAGUAUCUUUCUUGUGCAUGAAAGGUGUUGAGAUAUUAUAUUUAUGAUUAGUGUUGGUUAGGAUGUUGAGUUUUUAUACCUUGAUUUUAUAUUUAGUUUUCCUUUCUUAGUUGAUAAUUAGGGAUUGAUUAGGAGACUCGUGUAUUCAUAUAUUUUGUACAUUCCCCUCAAAAUACGCACAACAUAUUUCAGUCUCAAGUAUAUGCAUUUAAUGCUGUAACUUUUUUUCUUGCAGUUAAGCUUGAAAGUGGUGGAUCAAAUGCUCAAGCUUGGCUGGGAAGGUAAUGGGCUUCAGCCUCUUAUAAAAUCAUAGCUUUUAGGUUACACAUAUAUGGAUUACAGAUCAUGUAUACAUCAAUUAGGAAAGUUAGAUUGAGGUUGUGACACUCGUUUGUUAGCAGUUUGGCUGCGUCCUUAUGGUUCAGAAAUGUCAUGUGACACUUCCUAUUGUUACCACCAGUGUUAGGUUCAUAGAUUUAGUGGAGGGUUCUUUGCUCCUCCAGUUGUGUAAAAGUGUUGAUAUUGGUCAAGCUUCUUAGUUCCUUCUGAGGUUUGAGCCAUUUUUGUCCCACAAUUUUUUUUUUUAUAAGUUUGAGAAUGAAAAUAUAGUAGCUAUCUUUUUUCUUGUAAUGCUGCUGAUUUUCAGACGUUUAGACUUUAAAUGGAUUAGUUUGGCUGUGAUUUGAUUGAGUGUUCAGUAUAUUGUCAGUGUAAUUAAUAACUAAGUUAUACUGCUUUCUGUAAAGAGUUUUGUUGUUUUUAUUUCUCAUUUUCUCUAAUGAGAGCCAAUUCAUGAAAUAAACAUUGAUGUUGCUUCCGGUGAUAGACUCAGAUAGUCAAAUAUCAAAUUAUGUUGGCUCAAAACAGUUUGGUUUCGACUUUGUUUACGAUCGUUCGUCAUUAAGGUUAUUAUUAUAUGUGAAUAGGGUUGACAAUGAAUCGAAC